ACUGAACCAUGUAAAUCAGCACAUAUUGCAGCAGCUAAGGCCGCUAAGGAUGCUGGAGUGCUUCUUUCUUAUGAUCCAAAUCUGAGGCUUCCACUAUGGCCAUCUGCAGAGAGUGCUAGAGAUGGAAUAUUGAGCAUAUGGAAUACUGCUGAUAUUAUCAAGGUAGCCAUCUCUUAGUUUUACAAAGCAUCUAUAACAUCUCGCUGUAUUCUUUUCUUUUAGAGACUUAUUGAUUUUAGUUACAUUUAUGAAACAGGUAAGUGAAGAAGAAAUUUCCUUUUUAACUAAAGGAGAAGAUCCAUAUGAUGAUGCAGUUGUACGAAAACUCUUCCACCCGAAUCUGAAGUUGGUUCUUGUCACUGAGGGCCCACAUGGCUGCAGAUAUUAUACGAAGGUAUAGAUUAAUUUUGUUGCAUCAAUAUAAUCUAUAUAUUAUUAUGCUGUCUAUGAUAAUGCUUUAAUUCCAUUAGUCCUUUUGCUCAAUAACAAAAUAUUUAAGAUGUUCAUCGACAACCAAAUUUAUGGAACUUAAUUUUUCAUUUAAUAUUGUUUCCAUAUUAUGAACCAUCUGAGCUCAUAAUAAUUUUCAUCACAUAUUUAAGCCAUCUUUUUAUGUCAAUUUGCUAUUUUACCUGUAUUUGCUUAUCAUGUGUAAAUGAGUGUAACAAUUUUACUUUAUCAACAAUAUAUUUUUUUAAUUCUCUUAGUGUUUAUUGGCUUUAUGAAUGCAAGUUUUUCAAAAGAUAGUCUCACAACUUUAAAGUCUGCCUUCUUCAACUUGGAAUUCAAGCCCCUAGUCUGCCUUACCCCUUAGGUCUUUUCUAUUUCAUGACAUACAUGAUCAUAUCAUUUGAUCCGUAACAGUUACCAUGAUUUUACCCUUGUGAUGCAACUCCUAAGCUCCAGCUUAUCUGCAUUUCUUAAUCACUCCUUGUUUACUCACAUUCACUAAAGCAUCUUCUUCAUCGAUGUGCUUUUUGUUGGUGUUUUAUGCCCUAGAAGUAAUAUUUUGAGGGAUGUUUUGUUGAAAAUUUUUCAUGCAUAGUGUUUUUUUUAAUUUUCAUUUAUGAUUAUGAUCAUGUGCGUCGAGUAUUUGCCUAAGUUAUUUUCAGAACAUCCAUAAGUUACAUGACUCUGAAGAGCCAACUUGAUAUCAGAUUCACCGACUCAUGGGAGGAUUGUCUCUUUAUGCACCGCUAGGUUCACUUAUAGCCAAGGGUGAUUGAGGCAUCACACUUUCAUGGCUACCUUGGUGGAGUGCACAUGCCUACUGGUUACUACUCGGGCCAUUCUUCUGGCCAAUACGUGUUGACUGUUUGCACCUGAAUAUUGAUAUGUGGUGUUAUAUUUGGUGGUCAACAGAUUAUGAGUUGCUUCUCAGAAGCAUACUAUAAUUUAUUGUCUUGUUGGACCUAGGAGCACGAUAAAUUACAUGAAUCCUUGGACCUGAGAGUACUACGACCUGUGGAGUUGAUAAUACUAACUUUGCAGUCAGAUCUGAAUGCAAUGGUAUUAUGGAACUACUGGGUGAUUGUGAUUAAUCAUGAGAGAGACUUAGUUGUCCAACAAGAUAUUAGGACAUAGCAUGAUAAGAUGGAAAAUCCUAGGUCUGGUUUUUUCUUGAUGUUUUAUUGAUGACUUGAUCCUGUGUUACUAGUCUUAAGCCCAGUUUGGUAUUGCUUUUGGAGGGCCAAAAAUUGCUUCUUGGAGAGGUAGAAGCUCUUUUAGAUGAUUUCAAGGUCUUUGGUAAAAAUUUUGAAAUAGCUUUUUGGCUCCUUUAAAAGUUGAAAAUGGUCUACUAGAGACAAGCUCCAAUUUGGAGCUUUUGGGCAAAAACUCACCUGAGAGACCUGAGUUUGAGUCUUGGCAAUGGAAUUUUUUAAAAUUAGUUUAAAAACUUUUUGUUGCCAUAAUCAUUUAAGUUGGUAUUUUUAUGCCAUACUCAUGCAAUCAAGAUUUUAUUAUAUUAUUAAGAUCAAAAUAUAAAAAAUAACUUACAGAUUAACAAUAAUUUAUAAUAAUAGUUUCGAUAGUACAAUAUAAUAUAAUAUGUAUUGUAUUAUAGUAAUACAAUACUAUUAUACUACAAUACUAUUAUGCUACAAUAAUAUUAUACUAUAAUAAUAUUAUAAUAUAUUACUAUUGUAAUAUUCGAUUAAAAUACCAAUUUCGUAUUAUUAUAUUAUAAUAGUAGAAUUGUAAUAUUAUAGAGAUAUUAUUAUAUUCUAUAAUAAAUAUAAAAAUUUGUUAUUUAUUAUAUUAUGUAGAUUAAAAUAUCAAAAUAAAUAAUUUUAAUGCAGGAGCAUCCAAGGAGUUUGCUUAAUUAGCUACUUUUAUUUUGUUCUUUUGAUUAGUUUAGUUUGUGGUCAGUAACUAUGUCUCAAGUUAUAUUAAGUUGUCAUAUGACUGGCAUGUGACUUUUAUUGUGUUUGUAUGGCUAAGAUUAGAUAGGGUUAUUUAUCAUCAAGGGUUGGGAUUAGAGAGUUGCUGUAACCCUAUUAUAAAUAGUCUUUUAGACUCAAAUUAAGCAGCUAUCUUAUUCUUGUUUUAGAAGUUAGUGGUUUACAAACCCUAAAAUCCAUUGUUCUUGUUCUUCUUUCAAUCUUGCUAAAUUUUAGCUCUUGUUUUGCUGUCUAUUCACUAAUUUUUACUUCCAACACUAUGUCAAAUUUGUGAAUUAAGAAUACUUCAUGAUAGCAGUUUUUAUAGUACAAACAAUUAGAUAAUUGAAAGUACUAUGCAGUGUCUUUUAUUUUAUCUCUUGAUACUAAAAGUACUUUCUCAAUUUGGUUACCAAAUAGAUGUUAAAGUUGCACAAUACUUUAGAAAUACAGCUACCAAACAGUAAAUAAUUUUUAUUAAAGCUCUGCUAGCGAAAGCUCCGUUGCCCAAGGUUCUUUAGAGAAUGCUCUACUAUCUACAACAAUGCCAAAUGGGCGUUAGCUUGUAAACUUGGGUCAACGCAUUUGGUCACUUUAUGGUCCUUACUAAUGCUUGUUCUUAUGGGCUACAAGUUUGACCAUACAAGGUUAUGUAUUCCUUAGAUCCGUAUGCUGACAUGAGAAGCAUGGAGGAACUUAAUUAUAAUUAUUUUAUUUUCAAAAAGACCUUUUAUUGAUAUGCUCUUCUUGAAAAUCUUGUUCUUAUUGUGUGAUGACUUAAGUGGAAAGAAAGGGCUUCAAUCUGUAGAUCGUAGUUCUUGUUGAUUUAGUCACAAGUAUAGCAUUCAGAAUGAAUGUGGCUAGAGGCAAAGAUUCAGAAUGCAGAAAAAUUUCAAAAUUAUCAAAAGUUUAAAAAGGACUUUGAUAAUUUGAAAUUCUAGAAAUAUUACUAAAAUAAAGAAUGUAAGAUAAUUGAACUAUGUAUAUGUUUAUUCAUAUGAAAACAAGCAUUAGAGAGCUAAGAAAAAUAAACAAUAACAGACGAUUCUACCUGCAACAUAUGGCAUCAUCUGUUUGCAAUUCAUAAAGGUCAUCUAGAAUAGUUAUGAACAAUUUGUGAACAAAUCAUAACAUUUAUGAAUAAUUUGUGAAUAUUUCAGUAGUUCUUGAUUAGUUUGUUCUUGAGAAUAACUUAGUGAAUUAUUCAGCUUAUAGUAAAUUGAGAGUAUUUCGAGAUUUUUUUAAUAAUUCAAGGUAAAGUUCGCAAUCUUGGUACCGGGUACCGUAUUGGUACCCUAUUGAUUUGGUUCGGUUUGGUUUGGUACGGUACACCUCUGUACCGAAAUAGUUCUCUCAAGGUACGUCGUACUGGCCUGAAUCUGGCGGUAUGGGGCAUAUCGUAUCGUACCGGUUUGGUACUGGUACACAGUAUGGGUGGCAUACCGUCAUUCGAUAUGCCUCGGUACGAGGCGGUACAGGGCUUGUACCGAUUUGAAAUGAAGUUUCGUAUCAGUUUUCUUUCGGUACGGUACAGUAUGUCCUGUAUCGAGUGGUACGUGGCUGCACGGCAGACCAUGAUUCAUAGAUUGUUAUUAUGCCAAAGGGAAGGUUUGCUAUAAAUUUAGUGGGAUGCCAUACCUUUAAUGGGCUUACUAAGAGAAGGUGACCAACCCUUACUCUAGAUUUUUGACUUAGGUUUGGUUUGGUUUGGUGUUCAGAGAGAAGUUUGUUUGAGUGAGAGAUUUUUCGUAGUAGUUUAAUAUUCUUGCGGUGGUUUCAUAUUGGAGUUCAAGGAUUAAGCUUGUCGAAUCAAAUAUGUUAUAUUGGUCCCACCUCUAUGUUAAUUGAUCAUAGGGACUUGAUUUUCUUCUUGGUAGGAUGUGAAAUGGGCCUAAAGUUAAUCCAGCCUAUCCCGAAAAAAUGCCCUGCGCUGGAUUAGGCUCGGGCCUAUCAUCCUUGGGCGAUGUUUAGGCCCGAGAGUGGAACCCUGCAUAGAAGUAGGGCUGGACCCAGGCCAUCCAUUAACACCCCUACAGAAGGUGUGGGGAAAAUUCAAAAUCAUGAGAUUAAAAGGUUGUUUUGUGUAUUUCUAUUCAGAUUAGUUAGCAAAUUCAUGAAUUUAUUGCUAUCAGGAGUACAGGCUUUAUAUGUUGAAAGCAUUGACAUAACCAAAUGAAUAUAAUGAGCUUGCUCGUAAAACAUACGCUGUACUUUGUUAUGUGUCAAGGUUUUAAAUCCCUGUCCUAAGACCUGUAUUUGGUCUGGGGCCAGUUGGGAUGCCUAUAGGAUGGUGCUGUCCUGUCACUUGGGAAGGGUUUCCGUCCGGAUGAUUCAGGAGGAUGCGCAUUUCUAAGGCUUUUUAGCUUCUUUCUUUUUUAUUAUCUUUUUGUUAUUCUUAAUAUUGUUGAGAGGUUUUUAAGAAUUCACUUGUUAUAAUUUAGGGGUGGGUUUUGGCCCCAUAAUUGGGUUCAUGGUGCUGACACCAAUGCAGGGACCAAUUUUAUAUGGCGUUUAUGGUGCUGAGGAUCCAAGAACCCUUUCUCUUUCCUACCCUUGCAAGAGGAAUGCUACGCUUACUUGCAUGUGUAGGUGGAAAAUACCUACACGCACCACACAGCACUUGCUUUAAAGUAGCAUUUAAGACCCUGCUUUCAACCGGUUGGCCAACUUUAUGUAACUGGCUGGUUUGAGAGGUUCCAGGUUCCAAUUGGUGAAGAGUCCCAUCUCAGCUUCUCAAGCCUCAAAGACUGUUAGAAAAAAGAAAAAAACACUUUAAAUUAAUGGUGAUGAGUUCCAUCUCAAUUUCUGACGACUGACCCAAAGACUGCUUACUGGAGACUAAUGUGGGAACAAAAUUGCUGAGAAAAAAAAAGAUUUUAUGGCACAUUUGCAUUUCUCAAUGACUUCCACUAUUUAUUGUUUGCAUUGUUCACUGAAUAGUUAAUUCGAAUUUAAUUUUUUAGGCUAGUUAACAAUAAUAUUUAUUUAAUAAGUAGCAGUUAAAAUGAGUUUUCAUGCUGUAAACAGUGAUUUAGACAAAUAACAUGUUAAUUUGUCAUUAGUAACUACUAUUUCUUGUCAUAAUGGUGAAUAUUGACCAUUGUAACCAUACAUUUUUUGGUGUAUAUAGCCAUCAUUGUUUUAAAUCUACAUCAUAUUUGUAUAUACAAUAAAAUUCUAUGAUCAUUACAAUAAUCAAUAACAAUUUUUUUGGAGGCCUAUUAUAAUGAUGUAAUGGCAUUAUUAAAAUGUAGAUGUAUAUACUUUGUUAGAGCUCUGCAUGCGAAACAUGAAAAUGCAUUGUAAAGUGUAGUGGUUGAUUUUGUGCAAACAUAAAACAACGAAUGCUAUAAUGUUAGAAUAACCACUAUAAUAGUCUUUUUUUAAGAAAAAAAAAGUAAUUACAAAGGGCAAUUGUUAGGUUAUAUAACACAUUUCUAAGUAAUGUGGUUAUAAAGCCAUUGUUUCACGAUAUGUCGGAAUAAUAAAGCCAUUUUUCUUAAUCUUCUCACUAUUUAUUCAAUUAAAAUGUUGUCUUUUGUAUUUAAAUUUUAUUGGUAAACAAUAAGAUUUUAUAGUAUGAAUAAUGAUAUCAAGUUUUAAAAUAAUAACAAUAAUAAAUCAAAUUAUAUCAUGUUAUUGCCAAUUAUUUGUCACUGUAGAGUGAACUAAUCAAUGCUACUAAAUUGACUACUAUUAUAUUUCCAUAAUAUCUAUUUUAAGAACAUACUAAAAACUAUUCUAUUGAAAAAUAAGCUUCAAAAGGGUGUGCUGCUCUAUAGUAAUAGUUCUCAAGGAACCGACCGGUUCAGCCUAUAUCGUACCGGUCCCGGCCGGCACCGGUACGGUAUAGCCAUAGAAUUCGGUUUUUUGCCUGUACCGGUGCAAACCGAUGCAGUUCACAUUGGUACAAGCCCGGUACUGGUGUGAACGCACCGGUUCGCACCGGUACUUGCAGGAAGAAGAAGAAAAGAAGAGAAAAGCAGAGGAAGAAAGAGAAAGAAAGAGGAAGAAAGAAUAGGAAGAAGAAGAGGAAGAAGAGGAAGAAGAAGAGAAAGAGGAGAAGACUACCUGUUGAAGGGAGGAAGAAGACCUCUUUUGCGGGGAAGAAGACUACCGGGCCUCUUUCUUCCUUCCGAGCACCUCACGGGAAAGAAGACUACCUUGCGAGGAAGAAGACCUUUUUUUGCUCGCGGGAGAAGGGGGGAAAGAGAGGAGAAGAGAGGAGGAGAGAGGGGAAGAAAAGAGCGGUUGGGGAAGAAGAGAAGAGAAAAAAAAAGAAAAGAAAAAAAAGAGAGAGGCUGGGGCAGCGUGCUCGCGUGCGUUCCACGCGGUACGAACCGCGCACCCACGCGUGGCGCGCGAUUCCCCGAGCCCGCCCGCACGGGACAGCGAGCCCACGCGGGGCAGCCCACCUGGGCUUUUAAUGCCAUAGAGUGGCAUUAAUGCCACCCUGUGACAUAACGCGGACGUGCGCGUAUCUGCGCGUUUUCUUUUUUUUUUCGGAACCGGUUCGGUACCGGUACCGAACCGGUAUCGGUCUCCACCGGUACGUCGGUUCGGUCGGUACUGCGUACCUUAGUUAUUUUUUUUUUUUUUGAAUCCUUUCAUUUUAUUUCAAGGAAUUGGUUGGACAUACUAUGAGUAUACUAUAAUACAAAAUACAAUAUUAGAUAAUAUUCAGUGAAAGAAACAUAAUAUGGUUGGAAGUUGGAACAAACAUUUUUUGUGAUGCACCACCAAAACAAAUGCCUGUGUUCCAACUAUGGUUCCUAAACCAGGCUUUCCCAACUUCUCUAUUACGACUUCAGUAAAUUGUAAUCAACCAAAGGAACCUGAAUAGACAUCAAAGUCUUCACAAAUAAGCCACAAAUGCCCAAAAUGCCCUGCUAGUUCAGCCAUAUAUAAGUAAUGUUAAUAAAUAUAAGUUUGGCACUUGUUAUGAAUCCAGGCACACUUCAUUAUGGCUAACACAAUUACUACAUGGAUAGAACUGCUAGAGACUAACGUAUAUACUUCAAAAUUCAAAUAAUUUCAGAUGAAAUUACUCAGCACUGUUACGUGUUUUCCUCAUCUAGUUAGAAUUAAUGUUUGAUGCCUUUUUAUUUUGUAGGAAUUCAGUGGAAGGGUAAGUGGACUAAAAGUGAAUGCAGUGGACACUACUGGUGCUGGAGAUGCUUUUGUUGCUGGAAUAUUAUCGCAAUUAGCCACUGAUGUUUCCUUGCUCCAGGUACAACUUUCUUUAGCCCAUGCUUGAAACUAUAACCAUGUUGCUGCUGUGAACUGUGCUUGCAAAUGAUCCUUAAGUAAUUUCUUUCAUAUGAAUGUUAGUAUUGAAUUUUCUAAUAACUACCCUCAACAUUCUCUUAGUAUUUAGUUACUGCAUGGUAACCUGGAAAUAUAUGUAAUGACAGGUGCAUGAAGAUUUUACUUGGAUUAUUUAUAUUCUAGUUAUAAGUGGAUUUUAACAUACUCUUUCACUUAAGUAAGGAUUAGGUUUGCAGUUAUAAUAAAUUGCUAGUUGCACUUCGCAGAUUAAUCUGAAUCUUGCAGGUGCAGUGAUCAUGUUUGUUUUGCUUAGAUCUGUGUUUAACAAUUUUACUCUUGUUCACAAUGCUGAUAUUUUUGUGUUCUAGAUUCUUAUUUGAGUAUUUAAUGCACAGAUGGUUUGCAAGCUAAAGUACAUUAUGUUGUACGGUCACCUCUUUCUUUUCCCUCUUUUCUUCUAAUCAGUCUUGUUAAGAUAAUAAGCCAUUGCAGCCGGCUCUCACAGCCUGUUUUGAGAGCUUGAGGUGUUCUUCUCCACUUUUUAGUCUGCGAAUUUUUGACACUUGGUCCAUUGAGGUCUUCACCCAGGCGAGACUAUGAUAUUCCCUAGGAAGAGUCUGUAGAAAGAUGACAAAUGUAUAUCUUCAAAAAUAUUUUAAAACAUAAAUUCUCAAGCAUAUAUAAAUACAAAAAUAUAUGAGUAAGUUUAAAGAGGAUAAGCAUGUUGCACUAGAAGAAAAGGAACAUGAACUAAUUGACAUACAUUACAAAAUGUCAUGCAGCUGUGAACAAUACUGAAAUAUUGAAUUCUGAGAUUAGUGCAUUGGAUAACUGGGAUUGUCCUAUCAAUUACAAAUUGAAAAAUAUUGCUGUGCUAAAGUGAAAAUGACCUUCUCAAAGGUGGCUGAAACUGAACUCUGUUGGAUCAGUUACUGCUUCUAAUUCCUUUUUCUGGUGGUCUAGUUAGAGAUGAAAAUGGAUGUGUAUUUCUCAUGUAUCAAGGCAGACUUUGCUUCAAGUAUCAUAUAUUCUGUAUUGAACUUUUUAGAGCCUUGAAAAUUUAAGACACAUUAUUCAGCUUAAAGGCACCGAUAUUAAAUUAUGGAUUGAAAUGGAUUCUGAGAUUGCAGUUUGUUGUCUACAAUGGCCAUGGGUUCUCACUUGGAAUGUAAUAUAUUUGCUUAAAAUUUUCUGGAAUUGCUUGGCAUCAUUAGAAGAUUUCAAUAUGACCUAGAUAUGGAGAAAUUGGCAUAGAGCUGCAGCUUUUAUUGUUAAAACUAUAAACCUAUUGGUCAUGGAUGAGGAUCAUGUUUUGGUUUGUCCUUUGUUAUCUGAACUUCCUCUUGAACUUGCUUGCAUCAAUGAGGAUGACAAGAAUUAGAAUGUAUGCUAGAGCCAGGUUCUUGUACCAGAAAUUGUUACAAAUGAAUGUUUUGCUUACCAUUCAAAAAAAUGAACACUGAAAUAAUCUAACUGCAAAGGAUGAUCCGUAUGACAUGAAUGGGGUCAUCAGAGAUACUAAUUUGCCUUACAAGACAGUCUAGUCUAGCUGACACAUUCUCAAUCUAUGAUUAAACAGAGCUGCUGAACUGAAUGGAAAACAAAGCAGAGCUUAAUGCAAAUCAAACAUUGACAGUCAGAAACAAAAGAGGUCAUAAUAAAGAUCUGCAACCAUCACCCUUAUAUGAGAAUAGCAGCUGGAUGAAGAACGAUAUGAGCGGAGUUAUGUUAGUGAAUAUAUACAUAUACGUGCAUACAGAUGUUAUAGAUGUAUGUAUGGACAUGGUGUUGUUAAAAGUGGCUGCUUAGGCACCUAGGUGGCUGCCUAGGCGCUUAAUUUGGCCAUGCUACCUAGGCUAAGCCUGCUUAAACCUUCUUCUUUAGGGAUUUCUUUUCACAUUUUCUUUUCCUAUUUGAUCCCCAUGUGGGAGGGUAGCAGAGGCUAUAACCAACCUAGUAAUAGGUAAUGAGCUGAUAAAUGGCUACCAAAAGGUCAACCAGCAGCUGGAAGUGGUGGCAGUGGCUGCAAAGUUGCUAGGACUACUGCAAAGUUCAUGUUUUUUUCUUCUUCAACCAAUCUCAUUUUCUUUUCCUUCCACUAGUUUUUAUUCCUCUUUCUAUUUUACUCUUGCUUCUUCUUCAUUUGGCUGUUCUUCAGCCUCUUUUUCCAAUUUUUCCUUUUGUUCUGCUUUCCUCCUCCUCCUCCUUGAUGGUUGGUUUUUGGCCAUGGACCUGCUACUUGUUGGCUGCUGCAUCUUGCCAUCCUCUUGCUUCUCUGCCUUUUGCUUCUUGCUAGGUGCUGACUGCCUAGCUGUAUUGUACAGCCUACUGGUUGCUUUAGUGGAGCAAUGCUGUUGCUGCUCUCCUUCUUCUAGAGGAUUUUAAUAUUUGGACUUUUUAAGUAUGAAAAUCAGGUUUCAUGAUGCUAUAUAUUGUGAAAGAAGUGUGCAUAUAUGAUAUAUGCAAAUGCUUAUUUAUACAGAUGUUUAAACAUAUGCAUAAUAAAAGCUUGGAUAUCUUUCAUCCUGCCUAGGCACCUCAGCACCUACCUAGGUUAUACAGAGGGUCCACCUCCUAGCCUUGCCUAGGCAGUUUAACAACCUUGAUAUAUAUAGUUAGUUUGUAAAACACGUGGGAUGUGGAAAAGGCUGGACUUUACGCUCACCAGGAUAUUUGAUGAUCCAUGUUGUAAACUCAAAAUCUGGACCAUAUGAUGUAAAAUAUGAUGUCUAAAAUGCCUGUAUAAAAAAUUCACGGAUAUUGAAAGCCCUUAUGCAUCAAGUUCUUUGAAAUAUAUAGUUUAUGGAAAAUGUAAUCUGUUAAUUUUAGGACGAUAUGAUGGAUAGCUAGGAUUCUCUGAACCACCUGAUAUUUUAUAUAUAGACAUUUUGUUUUAGAUUACAACCAUGGCUUGGAUUUUGGAUUUGCAACAUGGAUAGCUGAAUUUUAUGAUUGGUGUAAAGUCCUUUCUUUACACCUUGUGUGUAUUAUGAUUAUGCGCAUACAUAAAUACAUACUUUUUACAUACUUAGUUGUACUUAUAUUCAUGCAUAUGUACACACAUACACACACAUAUAUAAACGAACACAAUAUAUGUGUAUGUGCAUAAGUAUAUGUUUUUGUGCGUGCGCGCGCGCGUGCGAGAGAGAGAGAGAGAGAGAGAGACCAAGUGUUUAAACCUAGAGUAUUUGGUAUACUAACGCAGUUGUGACAGGGAUUCCUUGUCUAAUUAGAAUUAGUCCAUGUAGUAUAAAGAUUACAUUUAAAUACUUCAGUGUCAGCUGAUCUUGUGCUGUGAUUCAUUAAACUCAAUCUAUGCAUGUUUUUCUGUGGCUUGUACAAAUCAUAUCAUUAUGGCUCAAAACAGGAAACUUUUGGUUGCUGAAAAGCAUAAAGAGAAACCUAUGCAAGAAUGGAGAACUUCACUAGAUCUUAUAAACUAUCACCACUGGGUUUUGUUUUGGUGGUUUUCUCACUAGUAGUAUCAUGCAGCCAAAGCUUCAAGUUAAUUGCAGAUGUACUAUUCAAGUAAUUAUUCUUGUUCGGAAAUUGGAUGUUUUUUGCCACCCACAGCUUUCAUGAAGUCAAAAAAUUAUUGUGAGCAUUAAGGAAUGGAGUUCCCUAAUGAGGUGCAAUGCAUGAUAUUCUAGUUGUUAACGGACGUUGUCACCAGGCAAUGUUUUUUUCUCAAUGACUAGGCAAGUGAAUCAGAUCAACCUGCUACCAAUCCAAAACUGACCUGAAAGUAAUGCGGCCCGGUCUAAGCAAAGUCAUCUGAUUUAGCUUGGAUAGGUAAAAUAUGACUCGUUUCAAAUACAAAUUGGAGAUGGAUUACGAAGUAACCUUUACAGCCCUCCUUGUAUUUAAGAACCUAUUUUUCUUGUAGCUGUAACUUUAUGUAGUUAAUAAAGAGUUUGUCCUCGAUGAUAAUUCAUGUGUGGUAUGUGGUCGUCUAUCAAGUUUGUGCAAAAUGAGUUCUUGAUUAUGUCUACAAGUUUUAAUUGUUUGUUUUCUUUACAUGAUAUAUUUAUGAUAUAAUUAAGAAACUACUUUUACAUGUUACAUAUGCCUUGUGUUUUGGUUACCCUAGACAUUUUGAUCUUGAAAACCCAAUAUAUCAAUAAAAUAUGUCUUAAACCCAAUCCGACCCAACUAAAAUGGAAAUGGAGAAGGCAUGGAUUUAACUUUUUGACCUGAUUUAGAUGUUGAUUGGAUUUAGGUUUAUGUCAAACUCCAAUCCAGUUCGAUCUGCUUAAUGCCCUAUUGCCAACCUAAAUUGUUGGGUCAAGGAUUACUAGUGACAAUUUUGGUGGUGGAAUCUUUUUCUGGCUUCUUAUCAAGUGUUUUCCUUAAUCAUGACAGGAUGAAGGUCGACUAAAAGAAGCCCUUAGGUUUGCAAAUGCAUGUGGAGCACUGACUGUGAUGGAGAGAGGAGCAAUCCCUGCUUUACCAACUCGGCAGGCGGUACUGAAUGCCUUGGUUAAUAUGGUUGCUUAAAGAGAGUUCUUAUCGACUCCAUUCAUCAUCUGUAUCUGACCUUGCAAAAUAUGACUCCAUUAAAAAGCAUCAGCGGGCCAGAUGUUAUGCAUGUGUGUGCAACUGUUGGUUAAAACAGUUGUAGCUUUUCUUUUUCCUGAAAAGAUUCAGCAUUGUACCAGAAAGUUGAGAGCCUAAAUAAAAAGGAAUGCUUACUGAUCUAUAGAUACUUGUCUUGUACCAUUACAAAGUAUAAGUUAGAAUAUGGCUGUGGGCAAACAAUUAAAAUAAUUAACUAAGUGUUCCUGCAGUUCUAGCAUAAGUAGCAGUAUGCUUGACCCCAAAUCUGUGCAACGCCUCCCAUGCUAGGUGGGGAGUUGCUUGGAGACUUAAAAGGAGAAGGGAGUUGGAAGGAGUUGGUGGUGGCUUUGCUGCUCGAAUUCUAUGGACUUUAGGCUAUGCUUGGAUGUCUUAAAAUUCAAAAUCAUGAUCUUGUCCUAGUUUUCGAUACAAAAUUUUUAGAUUUUUUUUUCCAGAGAAAUCUAGAAAGUCAGAGAUAUUUCGGUAGGUUUUUGAUUGUAAAAAUAAGAUUGAAAGUUGUAUGAUAAUUUAAUAAAUAGUAAGAAAUUCUUGACUUAUCGAGGUGGAACAACCUGUUCUUCUUCUUCUUGAAUAAUUCUCUAAUUCAAGGCCAAAGAAUUUUCUAUUGCUACCCUAUGGUAUUCAUUUCUAGUUGGUGAUAAAUAAGCCAUCUGAGCCUCUCAACCAGCAAGGUGAGAGGGUCUGAUUCCAGGAUUAUGGUAGUUCUAAUAUUGCUAACCCUUUCCAACCAUCUCUAGAAACAGUCAUAGCCUUAUUAUUCCAGUUUUAUUGAGGUUUUCUAGUUCUCACCUUAAAAAAUAGGAGGCAGAUCCUACCUUUUCUUUUUAACUAGGGUUCCUCUUCGAGGAUGUCGGCCAUUUUAUCUUCUACAAUGUUUAAUUUACUAUUUUACUGAUUAAAGCUUCGAUUAAGAAAGAAAGGUGGCGUAUCUAGGGAGUGAUAUUUAGUCUAUCAAAAGCUCAAUAGGAUGAUGUGUGCGCCAAACCGAACCCUUUGGGGUACACAUCAUGAGUUAAAUGGACUUAAGUUUUUGUAACAACCCAGGCCCUCAUCCAAAAUGGCUAUUAUUUGGAUUUCUUGAUCCUGUAUAAGUACUCAAAUAUACCCAGCAAAUAACCGAUGUGGGACUAAACACACGCCCACACGGGUUCUCACAUACUCCCCCCGUUCAAGCCCUGACAUCCUCGUCAGGCUAAGGGUUCAAAUCUAUUCAAAUCUAAUCACAAGCACCACGAUCAGUCCGUGGUCAGCCCCAAUGGAUCCGUGCUGCAGUGUCCCCUAGUGCACAUAGGUUAUGGGCCGGGUCCGCUCUGAUAUCAUUUGUAACAACCCAAGAACUCACCUAAAAUGGCUAGUCGGAAGGUAUUAUUUGACUUCCUUGAUCCUGUAUAAGUACUCAAGAUAUACCCAGCAAAUAACCGAUGUGAGACUAAACACACGCCCGCACGGGUUCUCACAGUUUUAGUCCCAUUGCUUGCAUGUAGCAAGAUACCCAACCUACUACUUGUAUGCUUUGUCAUUCCUAGGUUUGCCUUGUCUUCACUACCUUCAUGACUCAAUGACCUCAAACAUGGGUUGUGCCUCGCCCUCAUACUGCUUGUUGUUAGUUGUUUCUUUGAAUCCGACUCAAACUGGGAGUCAUACAAAGGUAGUUAUGAUGUCAUCUGAUUAAUCUGAUGGCAUAGAAAUCACUAUCUAUUUAGUUUUAGUGUCUAGAAGUGUCCUUAAGGUGCUAAUGAGUUUUAGAAGGUCUAUAAUUAAUAUAAGUCAUGUCCUAAUCAACUUCAUAGUGCAUCCAUGAGCUAUAUCAAAUACUCCCUCCAUCUACAUAAAAUUCAAUCAAUGAGAUUUUUUUUCCCUCUUGGGUAAAUGUAUUUCUUUUCUUAUAUGAUGGACUUUGCAUACGGUCUAGUAGAUUUUGGAGCGACUUUGGUGGAUUCUGGGGGACACUGAUUAUGAAUUGGUAGAUUGGAUGAACCGCUAUAUCCUUCAAAGGCUUAUGGUGGAUUCUAUGAGUUAACAAAGACCUUUACGAGCAAGGUAAAGCUACUAGUUAUCCUUCAAUAUUUUCUAGUUCCCUUCAAGUUGCUCUUUCACCAUCUAAUUAGUUUUCUACUUUAAUUUCUAGAUUCUAGUUCGCUUCCAGUUCUUGUCUCAAGUUUCUAAUUCUUCUUUAAUUCAUCUUCUAGUUUAAUUAAUAAUUAGGCUUUUGCUUUUUAAUUCUACUAUGUCGCUCUGACCUUGUACUUGCACCUCCUCACCUACAUCACCCAUUCAUUGUAUGAGGCUGUUGAAGACCUUAUAUCCUCCUUUGUUUUCACAUAAAAUACUGAACUAAUUUAGAGCUUUGAGACUUGUGAGUGUCUUUGGUGGUGUGACUCCACUUAUAACAUGAUGCAACUCCAAGUUGGAAGAUUUGAUAGAUACAUGGAAAGCCUGAGUGAUGACAAUGCAAUUCUGAGCAGAUUGAGGGAUUCAAUUAGUAAAACUUCAAUUAAUUAUCACAUUUAUCUUGUUUUAUAGUUAUACUAUUUAUUUUCUUGCAUCCAUAAUUAUUCUAAAAUUUCCCAAAAAAUUGAUUAUUAUUAUUAGUUUUUGCACAUUGCACAUCCCCAAUUCCCUUCUAGAGUAGGAGAUGUCUUAUUUUCUUUCCUAGGUUUUAUCUUGGUAGUCUGUACCACAAGUUAUUUCUUACUCCAAAACAUACCUACACUUCCAUAAUCCAAAUUUGGAAAUCCUUUUGUUUAUGCAUGCUUACCCUGUUAUACCAAAGUUAUCUCUUCCUCAAAGGCCAAUUCCCUUUUAUUUAUCUCUUGCCAAUCCUCAAUCACCUCGGAUCACCAGCUUGCAUCAAUCUGGUAUUAGAGUAGGGUUCUGGCAUAACCCUAAUCAUAGGAGGCACCCAUGCAAUUAAACGUAGUACCCUCAAAUCGCUUAUGAUAGCAACCAUAUGUUCCAUUUUUGAUGCAUAAAGCUCUGUUGUCAGUUUGAUCUAAGGCUUGCAUGGCCAAGCCCAUGCCCAGCCUACUUCUAGCUAUGAUGCAAAUGGAUCGGGUCAGAUCGGAUCCUGAGUGACCCCGACUUGACCUAGUUUUUUGUUCGGAUUCUAUUUCUGAAUCUAGACCUAAUCCGAUAAAAAUCGAGUCGGAUUGGGUCGGAUCCUCAGCAGACCCAAUGGGUCAUUUGGGUCGGAUCCAUAUGUAACUCGGUCUAAUUCAAAAAAAUUGUAAAGCUAGUGAAGCAGGUGGCUGGAGGGAAGACCAACGUCUGCGGAGAUUGAGAUUUGAGAAAUGAGAGGGGAGAUCUUGGGAGAUCUUUGAAUUGUUCUAAGAUUUAUUCCGAGCAAAAUUCUUGGCUAAGAUUUACCGUGGAGUUGGGGAUUACGGAGAUCGAUGAAGACGAAGAUGGGGAUGGGAGUGGGUUCGUCGAUGUGGUCAGACGAAGUCUGGGCCAUGGCCAUGGCGGUCCUCGGUCCCCUGGCCGUCGAGUAUCUCUCCUCCAGCCAUGUGUCCCCUGAGGGGCUCCUCAUCGCCAUUGGAGGUGACGCCGACCUCUAGAAAAGCUUCAGGACCUCAUCGACCGCUCAUGCUGUCCUAUUAGAUAUAGAGAAGAGGCAUUUAGUACACUGACAACCACACUGUUCUCUUUCUCUCUCAGAUAUAGAGAAGACUCAAAAGAGGCAUUGAUUAUGCUAACAACCGCUAUUCUCUCUCCCUCCCUCUCUAUGAAAUAGAGGAGAGGCAUUUGUUAUAUUGACAACCAUGCUAUUGUCUCUCUCCCCAUCACCUUGCUCAUCCGCAGCUGCCAUAUCUACCUCACAAAAUCAAGGCAUUUAUUACAUUAAACAUUGAAACUAGCACGAAAUAAAAAAUUGUUAUUUAAAAUAACAUUUUAGUAUUUUAUGUGGCUUUUUUUUUUUGGUUGGUAUUGAAUUUAGUAAGUGCAGAUCCGACUCAAAAAUAGAAUGAAUCCGACUUUAGAAUCCGACUCGGCUCUAUGAAUCCUUCAAAAUAGGUUGAGUCGGAUCGAAUCGGAUCAUGAGUCGACCCGACCUAUUUGCAGCCUUACUUCUAGCAGUAAAUCUACAACAUCAAUCCUUAUCUGAUGACACCCUGCAUGCAUAAUCUUAGAUUCUUCGAGUGUUGCAACUCCCUUAAUCAUUCGGAUCUAGUUAUGCGACACCUCCAUUUGCUCUAGCAAAAGCCUUUCGAUAGUAGUUUGAACUAAUGGUGCCACUUCUAUCGGCAGUUUAGUUUCUAACACUAGUAGCCUCACCAUCAGUUCGAUUUCGACAUUAAGCUUUUAUGGUAUCUGAAUCCUUGAAGUCUAAUAGAACAUUGUUGACCAAUGCAUACAACUCCAAAUCGAUCGCAAGCUCUAAGAAUUUAUAACACCAUCAUCUUCUUCAUAUACAGAUAUCUCAUAGCUUACGAUAGAUCUCAGUAGCUAUGUCGAAGUCGAACACCUUCAGGAAACCACAGCCAAAGUACGAGACAAGCAGAUUAGAGGGAACAAGAGUGGUGAAGAGGGCAUUGCGUCCCACAAUUUCUUUUUGUACUAGGAGGGAGAAAAAAAAACUCUUAUUAAAACCAAAUUCUCAAACAGAAGCCCUUCCCUACUUCACAUUUCCAUGUCUCACUUCUCAACCAAACCAACCUGAUAGGGAGUGGACAUCUCAGAUCUUUUGCCCUUUCCUUUUUUUCACAUGCCUUUGGCUUGUGUUUUACUCACAAAACCUAAAGCAGGCUCGGCUGCAAAUACAACCAAGUGGCUUAGAAGGACUGAGGCUGGAAAGUGAGCAAACACAUGAAGUAGCUGAGCAUUUGAUGUUCGAUACCUGAACUUGGUUUUAGGGUGCAAUGCAAAUGUAGUUGCAAUAGCCAUUUCUUUGUCAUUAGAAUAAGGAACAAGCAACGACUGAAAAAGAAGAAGAAGAAGAAAUAAAGAUAGAGAUAAAAAGGUUUUGGUUGUUCAUUCCAUUUACUAGGUGACUAUCUACCUAACUUAAAAAAUCAUUUAUAUUCAUCACUACAAACCACCAAGAUUACAAAAAGACUUUUCUAUGUUAACAAAAGCAAAUGUUGAUGAUGAUGAUGAGGGAACUGAGUCCAAUUUUUUUCGGUAAUUAUAUGAGAAAUCAGGUUUUUGAUUAUGGGAGGAAUUAUAUUUGGCUAAAAAAACAAAGAAAUUACUAGAAGUCAUGAUAAUGGAACCAACUGCGAGACAUUUUUUUUUGAGAGAGAGCAAAAUAUGAAAUUCUAAUUGCUUUUGUUUUCAUUCUGCAUGGGUGACAGUCUUCCUGUAAUUGAUAUAUCGACAGAUUGAUGAUAAUGACCUGCUCUUGCAUAGAGUUCAUCAAAGAAAGAGAAUUGCUAGUGAAGAUGCCCAUAGCAUCAUUCAAGAAGCUUAUUACAAGUCCCUACACCAAUUGCGGCAGCAAGGUGCCAGGCUGCAUGAAUAAAAGGAGUCUGGGGAAAGCAAUCAUCAGCAAUAAAAAGUGCGCCGCCUAAUAGAGAUGACACUGUAUGCAGAUUAUGUGCCAUCCUGAGCUCUGGUUUUGUUAAUGCUUUUCUAGCAAAUGCAACCUAGAAAGGAAGCAAAGACAUCUGGUUAGUUAACAAUCAAACUGACAUAAAAGAACAAUAUACUCCUGCGAUAAUGUUUGAAUGAAGUGGUAGUCAAAUUUUGAAGAGCUAAAGUUCCUGGGGCAAAAAUGUCAAAAGGAUUCAUACAAUUGACAAUACUUGACCUCGUAAUUUGGCAUACCAAGAAAAAUUUAAUCAUUAUAGAUCUGGAAAUUCACAAGUUAUGGGGAUAUAGAAAUAAUAGCAGCCAUUGUUAGUUUAGAAGUAGUGGGAAAAUGUUCAUCUGGCUUCUGAAGCAGAGCGUUGACUGCUGAUAAUUUAAAUAAAAGAUAUUGGUCUCACGUAAACAUUUGUAUCUCACUUAUUUACUAAUUGCAGUUUUGCUAGAGCCAGUUGGCAUCACUUCAAGAACAAAGGAACGACUAAGGCUGAGGAUACUUGGCCUCUUGCUGACAAAAAAUGGAGGAAUCAAAGGGUUAAGAAGUGUGAGUUGGUUUGAAACUUUGAAUCUUCUGCUCAUGGCUAUGUGGUGGAGAAUAUGGAAAGAGAGGAGUAAGGAUAUUUCAGGGCUCUGAAGCUGAUGCAUCUGAAGUUAUCAAAAAGAUUAUUUUUUUCUCAGACAAGCUGGGUUCCUUAAGUUUCUUACAAAAUGGAGGUGAUUAAUUUCUUUAGAUCACUUUGCUUUCUGGAAUAUUUUUGGUAUGUACUCAAUCCAUAAUCUCCUGUAAUAAAAUGAUGAGAUUUAUUCCCAUCUUUUUUCUCAAAAAAGAUUUAAGUGGUGGCACUAGUCAGUCAAUAUGGCCAAAUGUAGGAACAAUCCCUUAAUAUUUGCUAUUGUUUAUGCUAUCCGCAUAUGUGUGCUAAAGCUAUAAAAAUCAAUUGGAUACGACCCUUGAGAUAUCUCAAAUUGCAUCCGAUGUUGUGCAACAUAAUAUGAUGGUCUCUCUCUCUCUCUCUCUCUGAGGUAGAAUGAGAUGGUGUGGUAAGUCAAAUAACUUUUAAAGUAUGAAUAAGUUCCAAACUAUUCUACCCAAGGUUUGCCGUCUCGGUACCGGACCCCGUAUCGGUGUCGCACUAGCAUAAUAUCGAUAUGAUAUGGUACGAAAUUUUUUUGGCAUACCAAAUGUCGGUACACCACCCGCACCGGAUACCGGUACCGAACUAGUAUGGUAUGCCCCGUACUGCCCGGUUCAUGCUGGUACGACGUACUUUGGUUCUACCAAAUCAGUGAUUUAUCAGCAUGACAGGGGUGUGUAUCAUGUGUCUACGAAUAGUGCAUUCUAUCAGCCUGUAUUGCUGCAAGAAGUUACAAACGACUGAAACAAAGUAGUUAGCUUGUUUUCAAUUGAGACAUGGUCCAUGUGUACUGAACAGUAUGUUUUAACUUGGACAGAAAUUUCACAUUCCAAAACAUAAUAUUUUCACCCUCUAAAUGUCUGGUUUACAGAGGCACAUGCAUUUUCUAGUCUAUUUUCAAAAGACAGCUUCUUAUCAUCACAUUAGAUAAAGAAAACUUUUAAUUCAACAAAUUCAAAUAUAUAAUUUCAUCGCUUUUCCCAUUUGAAAAAGUCAUAAGCCUGGAAAGUGCGCAAACACAUAAUAGAGAUUCUUUGACAAAUGGAGAAAUCUGUUCAAGAGUGGGUUGCAAAGCAAAACUUUCAAUCUUUCUGCAUAAUAUAACAUAAAAUUUUGUAGUCUUGGCCAGGUCAUGGGUCUGUCUCUAUAUUCAACCAAGAACUGACAGAUGUUACAUAGGAAUAGGACUUUGGUUGAGACUUUUACUUUGAUCCUGGAACGACAGACAAUUGAGAGCCAGUUCGGUAUUGCUUUUGCUUUUUGUUUUUGUUUUUAAAAAUGCAAGAGGAAAAAUGAAGUAGACUGAACAACAUGCAUGAAGAAAUCCUUUUGUAUUUUAAAUUGUUUGUUAAAUCUUUAGAGAUUUUGGAGCAAAUAAUUAUUGCUUCAAAAAGAGUGAAAACCAAACGCAAGGAAUAGCAGAAGUUUUGUGCUAUUCCUAUCUUCAACAUCAAUCUCCAUCUACAUAAUGCUUUAGCAAAGCCAUGCUUAUUUUUUCAGGUAUUGCUUGCUUGCUCUUAAGUAAUGAUAAUUUUUAAAUCGUGAGAUAGCCUUCUUAGAUAGCAGAAGAUAGAUUUCUAAUCAGAUAUCAACAAGAAUCUUUCAUAUUUUCCUAAAAAAAGAAAAAAGAAUUUUUCACAUGACAGAUGCAAGAUUUCUUGGAUGAGACACAAGCAUCCUUUAGUGGUCUAAAUGUAGACCUCCUACUAAAAAGUAGAGAGACAUGACAUAACCUAAAUAAAGUUCAUUUAGUAACAUAUUUUAGCAUCGACUUGAUAUCUACUGAUAAUGCUGUGUAUCUUUCCAGACAAGUGCAAGCAGAGUGCAAGCUUUGUAUGCCAUGGUAGACAUCCCAUGCUUAUCAGUGAAUGCAUGGGAAUGGUACAGAAGAUAGUACUCCAGGAAAUGGAUGGAAAAUAUGAUUUGAUUAAGGGUUUAAAACCUUGAAGGAAUUGAUGAUGAAAGAGGAUUCAUCAGAAAAAAAUUAAAUACAUGACAUGAAACUAUAAGGCUUGUUGGUUAUGAUUAUCAGGAUGCUAGAUUGUCAUUAAGGAAAAGAUAACUGAAGGAUAUAGGAAUUAAAAUUACAAUAAUGAAGGUUAAUAAGAUGAAUAUUAAGCAUGGUAGAAUUAUUGAUGUGGAUGUAUGCAUUUGAACAGGCUCAAGAUUGGCAGAAAAGGGACCCAUACGGUGUAUGUGCAAGGCCAUUACAAGAGGCCUGUUUAGCUAUACUUUGGAGUUUGGAUCCAUUUUGAAGGGUUUAAAAUAACAAUAAAAGAACUAAACAAGACCCGAGUGACAUGUAAAAGAGAUGAUUAAUAGGAUUUAAAGGCAAUAAAAUAAGAAAGUAAAGCAAAUGAUGGUAGACAUAUUUGUUCUGUUUGAUAGACAUGAUGAAGAUACUAUAGUAUGAUAAUAAAGAACACACACUAUCAUCCAUACAUGUCUACAUGACAUGUUAAGUAUUUGAUGUGGAGCAAAAAGAAUAUUGCAUAGUUGAAUAAAACAGCCCAUGUUUAGCAAUCUAACAACGGAUUCUUCCUUACUCUGCUUCUUGGUCUGACUAAAUAGCAAAGAGCCCUUGUUAAGUCUUAUCACAUUGGAGAACUAACUCAGAAUUCAUAUCCAUAAAGGGAUUGAACAAUGAAAGUUCUUUCUAACACUUAUGACAACUUCAUGUUAACAAGAAAUGAGGGAUCAGUCAUUGAGGUAAUUGUCCAUCAAAGAUAGCCUAAGUAUUGGCUAUCAGAUAUUAUAAUUAUGUCAGUCGUAAGUAGCAAUGUCGUCCCUAGGCAAUCUUAUGUUAAGGCAGACAGCAGAUUGUGUAUCGUAGGAAAAUAUAGAUGAUUUUUAUUUCAGGAGAAGAAUGGAAUUAUUAGGUUUAGAGAAAGGAACAAAAAGACUUUGACAAUAAUUAGGUAAACCUCGAAAUUUUCAGACUAAUAGAGUAAGCAAGAAAGGCAUUAUUAGCCUUUUUCAGGGCCAACUUUUAUUCUUGGAAAGAGAAAAUGCAACAAAGCAUGCACAUCUAAAUGAGAGGGAGAUUUGUCAAGUUUACAAUGCUGGUAACAUUUUUGUUAAGGCUUGGAUAGCAAACCAGAUAUAGAUGUUGGACAAUUACUCUUUUAAAAUCUACUAAUGACAAGUCAGUAGAAUAUCAGCGUAUACAUAUUUGUUCAUGUCAAGUAAGCAUUACAUGUAUUAGCGAUACAUGCAAGUUUAAAUGCUAUUCUUUCCAAAGUUAUAAAAGUUUAUGAUGCCAGAAUUUCCAUUUGGGCAAAUGUGGGAGCAUGUGCAUGGGAGCAGCUUACUUGGUACUUUCAGUUAGAACUUUAAGAAGCAUAAUAAACAAACCAAUGAAUUGUUAAACUUAAAUUGCCUUGUAAUACUAUUUUAUAGAAAUUGAUGCAAAAUAGAAAAUGAGCAACCAUGCCCUUAGAAUCUGGUUAGCUUUAUAAAUUUGUUGCAAAAGUCACUGAUCUCAAAUACAAUUAUUGAAAGACAGUUACAGAGUUCUGCUUGCAGUAGAAGUAGAAAUGAGGAUCUAAAACAAAAGCCAAAAUGAGUCUUAUAGUGCAGAUGACCAGAAACAACAACUAAUUUAAGCAUCGAGCAUGGAUCUUAUAUGUAAUUAUUACAUAUUAUGGAUACAUUUUAACCAAAUUACAGCUUAAGAUGAAGACUGAGGGACAUUUAACACCACAUAAGCAGGAAAAUCCUCUCUCUACCAAAGUUUCUCUUUUUCUUUUUUGCCUCCUAACAGCUAAAAAAAAUAAAUAAUUCCAGGUACCUAGUUGUAGCAAGGAAACACACUAAUCUCAUAUAAAUUCACUUCACGAGUUUAAAAUCUGUGCCUAUUGUCUGCACUGACACUACAGUUUUAAGUUUUAAUAGAAUGGCACCACAGUUUACUUAGCAAGGAUCAUUGUCUCUAACAGAAUGUUGUGUAAGAGUGUGUUCCUGAUGAAACUAAAUACCAAUUUAAGUAGCAUAUAUUACAAACACAAUAUCCUGGUGAUCUUUCAUUUAUUUUAAAACAUAACAGUGUGUAUAGUUCUGCUACAAUUCCCCAUUUUGUCUUUUGAAAACAGAAAAGCAUCAUCAACACUGUCACAAGAUCUUGCUGCUUUUUUUUUUAACUUCUGAUAAUUACAUAUAAAUUUCAAAGUUUGUGGUAUUGAAAUCCUUUUUACUUCCAGAAAACAGGAAACAGAAACAAGAGUACACACAAGUCUAUGGAGAGACCUCUUUUCUAGUUAUAGAUCUCAGGUUCCAGUCUUCAUGACCCAAUCAAAGGCAUGUCUUUCUUGUUAAGGGGAUGAAAACCUCAUCUUAACAAAACCAAACAAAGAAUCACCUUUGCAGGCUCUCUCAUAUUUGAGUCUUCCUCUAGUUGUUUCCAUUCGUAAGUACUUCUUGCUGUUCCUUCAUUAUAUCUUAAUUUCUUAUUCUAUAUUGCCAGCCUUGGACCAAUAGUAAGGUUUUGGUCCAUUGUGACUUGGGUCAUCUAUUCAGAGCAUGGAAAUAGCCUCUCUACAUGCAGAAAAAAAAGUUGUAUACAUCUGACCAACGUCUAUUGUGUUGAUAUCGGGCCCCGGACCAAUUUCCUAGUAGCACGGGCCGAUACGGCACCACGUUGUGCCAUGCCGGCCCUAUACCGACACAGUAGAGGCGGGGGAGAGGGAGAACAUGAAAGAGGAAAAGAGAGAGAGAGAGAGCAGGGGAGGGAGAGAGAGGGAGAGGAAGGAGGAGAGACAUCAGUUAGGGCCGGCCGGCGGAGGCCGGGGAGCCUCUGCGCGGAGGAGGCGCAAAGGCGAGGCUCCACAUCUGGUCUCCAUUUUAUUUAUGCGAAUUUUAAGUGAUAGUCGGCAAACCCAUUUCACUUAUUCCUAUAGGAAAUAAUGCCAAAGCUCGUAUGGUGAGAAUUGCUCUAAUGCUACAUGUUGUUGUGUUACAAAAACUUCUAACUAGAUAGAACACCAGAAAAUGCUGAACUCUUAAUGAGGACAAUCGAUUAACAAGAUGUAACCAACUUGAGAUUGAGAAAAGGUGUUUGAUACAUCAGCAGAUUCAAGUUUUAGAAAAAGGUUAAAAUUUUGUGGUAUUUGAAAAUUGAAACUUUAUCUAAUAUUGCCAGGAGGCCUCUAUUUCAUAUUGCUUGUUGGCUUAUUUGUGCCUUUGAGCGGAACAUAACUCUAUAUCGAAAAAGUCACCAACUUACCCUUCAUCUAGACUCUUUUAAAGUUCGAGAUAAUUUUGAGGUUUACUCAAUUGAACAAGCUUAAACUGCAAGCAAUAAGGUAGAUCUUCCUACCAUCUAGUUGUCCAUCUGGCUUUGAUGGCAGGCCCCGCUCUUCUUAAUACUUUGCAUCAUCUAAGAAUUAUACACCAAAAUCUAGAGGGUUACAAUCGGGCUGAUAGGCAGUUGGAAAACAUGCUUAACCCUUCUAUGGAGCCUUGUCAACUUUGAGUUCUCCAUAGCAGACCAAAUGUGGGAAAGGCUUGAAUGAUAAUGAUGAUGUUGAUGAUGAUGAUAUUUAAUAUUUUUAGCAUGAUUUAAUAUAUUGAACAUUAUCAAUGACAAGUUAGUUGGUGUCUAUUUCUUUCCUCUAGAAGUGAAUUAGGUCAGUGUAUGUUAAGAACCAACAAGUACAUGGAUCUAAAUAACAUCAAGAUGGGUCAGCAAUACUCAUACUAUUACUGGUCUUCAAAGAAUAAUGAUAACAAAGAGGCUAAGUACUUCAAACGAUAGGAAGCAAUCAAAGGAAAAUAAGAAACAUUUUGAAGCUGAUGAAGCAGCCAAAGUGUCACAAUAACUAUGAUUUCACAUCAUUCUUCAGAUAUUAUCAUUCUCCUUAAUGCAACUUCAAAAAUGGGCCUCUUAGUGGAGAAUGAAAAUAGAAUGAUAGAAUUUACUAAACUAAGGUUGCAAUGAUAAUUUUCAAGAGAGUAGAAAUUUAAAAAGAUAAUUGAUGAAAGGUGUCCUAAAUUACUUGCCUCCAUCAAUCCAGUAUGGACAGCUGAAACCAUAAAAGGCUGGAAUGGCAAAAGCAAUGUCGAUGCUGCUGUUAACAGUUUUGGGUUCUCAUCUCUGAGUGCCCUUGAUAGACACUGCAUAGAUCAAAUGGUUUGUUAACCACCCUAGAAUGAGAUAUAUGAAUUCAAAGAAAGGCACUUCAUGUAACAAUAAAAUUUGUAAGUAACAAUAAUCAAUAGCUGAUCAGAACAUAGAUGUCUUUAAGUCGCUUGAAUUAAGCAACUCUCAAGAUUAUAAUAUACAAGAAUGCAACAGUAACAAGAUUCUUAAUUAAAUUGUUAAUAAUCUCUAUGAUAAAGGUUUUGUGGACUGGAUGAAAAUUUAACUUAAGCAAGGGAUAGAAGACUUCUUUGCCAAAUCAUUUCAAUCUAACUAACAAUAAGAGAGAGGCAGAAAAUAGCAAAGGCAUUUGAAGAAGGCAGCUCAACUUUGCCGAUUGCUAAUAGAAAGAAAGAUUUUCCUUAAAAGGAGUUGCCUCUCUCUCUCUCUGGGUGUGUGUGGUGCGCGCACGCAAGGGGCUUAUGUAUUUAUACAUGCACAUGUGCAUGCACGUGUGUGUAUACAGAGACACAUACUAAAGUAUGAAUUCUCGUAAACACAUUUCUAUUAAGUCAAAAAAAAUAACUCCAUAAUAAAUUAAAAUUUUCCUGUUCAAGGCAUUAACAACCUGUUAGGCACAAUCUUGCUUUAAUUGAAACUAAAAAUCAGGUUACACUGAUUAUUAUACUAUAUAAGAGGAUAAGAAUGCAAUGUUAAUCUAGUACAAAAAGAAAAAAUGCUGAUUAUAGAUGACUAAAGAUUAUUAAUAUAAAAAUAGAAAUAGCAUUUCCAUUUAACAGAGAAAAAAUGUAGAGCAAAAAUCUUAUGAUAAAAAAUGAUACUUUAACCAAAACUAUCAAUUUAUGUGCUAUUAUAUAAGUAGUUUCAGUUGCUUUUUUAGUGCCCUGCAAACGUAGCUGCUCAUAUCAGGCCAUUGAAUCACCAAAUGAUUUAUGUUGAACAAAAAACAAAAGAGCGGUUUACAAAUCCAUUUCUAAUGAGAGGAUCGGGAUGCUAGCGAGCUACUGAUAGCAUUUAGACACUUUGUCUCCUAUCCUGAAUGGCUGAAUGAUGUAGCACCACUUUAAUGAUCUACAUAUGUAUGGAAGGUGCAAUGAACAAAUAUUGAGCUUGCUGUCCAAUUCUUGUAAAUAGGGCAAAAGAGAGCAGUUUUGAUUAUUAUGAUAAAAUACGAUCUAAUAAGAUCACUUUUCAGAAUAAAAUGAAAAUAUAAUACGCACAAAGCAGGUUCCACACAGUAUAUUGGAAAUACUAUGACAAAUAAAAAAGAGUUUGAAGAUUAAGUAAAUAACGGAAAAGAAGAAAGGAACCACAGAGAGAGAGAGAGAGAGAGAACAUUGAGAGCUGAACCUGACCUAAAAAGUUUUUUUCAACAAAAUAACCCUGAUAAAAUUCUGAAAUCCAUACAUUCUAUAGCAUUUGACAUAAAAUAGAUUCCUAAAAUCGUAAAAUGCGCAUCCCAAACAAAUCAGCAACUACAUCAUUUAUCUGACUCUCAUUGAAAUCCCAAAUCAUCACAAUCUAAAGUCUAAACUAUAUCCGACCAAUCACUUAUUGACCUAACUUGGACUCCUAAAAGAAGUAAAAUAGAAAGGUUUUCGGUGCUGGUCAUUGUUCAUGGUACUGUAGCAUGAAACAGUGCCAAAUUGUAAAAAAAUAAGAACUUUUAAAAGUUGCGACUCAUUUAAAGCAGGAAAACAAACUUAAGACAAAUCAAAACCUGAACUGUCUAUAUGACUUUUAGGCUCCAAAUAUCAUCUGAUCAUAGAAAAAUAGCAUGGAUAGGAGCCCAAAAAAUACAUCCACAUCAUUGAUACUCCUCCAAUGAUGAUCUCAAACCAGAUGAAAAGAGUGGAUGUAACUGGUGACAGCCAGAUGCAUAUAAUUAAAGGUUCAAAAUGUCAAAAAAUGAUAUACAGCCAACAUUAUAUAAUUAGGGCGAAUUUUGUUAGUUGUAGCAUAUCAUAUUAUAAUUAUUUCAUGUGAAGUUAAGAUACCAUUUUACAAAUUUUCUAGGACCUCCUUGAACAUCAGUUUUCUCUUUAGUAAGCAGACAAAAUAUUGCCUCCACAAUAUAUAACCUGGUAUUUGAGUGACAUGUAACAAGUGUUCACCACCUUAUCUCCACAGAUAUACUAAAUUUAGCAGCUGAAGGAGAUCUGCUGUCAGGUUUCUUUAAUCAUGUGGUUCUCCCUUGCCACUGGCGGUCGCUAAUUGAGUACAGUAUCAAUUGAAAAUUUUAAUCAAUGUUGAAACAUGUUGUACAAAUAGAAGAAACUUGUUAAUUGUAUUGAUAUCUACAGGUACAGUGCAAUAAAAAUCAUAAGUUAACACUUUAAGAUCAAAUUAAUUUAUUCAGUAAUAUAAAAAAAUUCUGUAUCUUUAAUUUCUUAUGAUAUAGCCAUAAUGAGAAUAAUCCCAUGAGUUGUCUGUCAAGAGAAGUACCAAUGAUAUUUCUAUCUCAUUAGUUUCAUAACUCAUAAUUAUGGUAACCAACUAUAGAAGAACUAGUAUUUUACAAGAAUAGAGGUUUUCGCUCAAAAGAAACUAGCCUUCUUCUGAAAUUAUAUGAUGGCUUGUUAAAUAGCUCAUACUUACAACUGUAGUAGCAGCAAUCAUUGUGUAGUCUGCCCAUCUAAGAAUUUUUCUGACUUCUCCUCUUGAACAAUGGUAUAAGCUUGAGGCAAUCCCAACUCCAAUUAAUGAAUUAGCAUAGAGUGAUGUGCUCAAAUUCUUCCUGCAUUGUCAAUAAGCAACUUGUCAGGCAAUGCAGCAAAGAAAGCAAGAGGGAGGAGGAGGGAGAAGAGGGUAGGGAAGGAGGGGGUUGGGAGAGAGGAGAGAGAGAGAGCUUGCCGUGGUGUUCGAAAUCCAAGAAAAACAAAAGGCAGUGAGGUCAGGACAUUAGCGAUGGUUUCUGCAAUGUUCUGAUCACCUAAUGCAGAGAGAAGCAUACAAAUAUCAAGUUUCUUGGACAUAACAUAAGAGCUGUGCAAAGUAAAUGUACAAGAAGAAUGGUUGUUGGUGAUAAACCUUGAAGUCUACAGCGAAUGGGCCUAAGGCAUGCUGGUCUCUGAUGCCACAUUUGCCUGAUAACACAUAAAAUAAGUCAGCUGUUUAACUAUUUUGAGAUACACAGCAGCUAUUUCGUGUAAUUCUGGGAUAUUUGCCAAUUUAUUUAGUGAUUUAAUCAUGAAUUUCAUACAACUUACGGGAUUAACAGCCUCUGGCUUGUUCCAACAACCUGUGGGCCAUCACAAGUUUCAAGAACAAAUUCCCCACAAUGAAGUGUUUCAUCUCUAUAUGUUGGUUGGCCUACCAAUUGCACCCCAUGAAUUCCCUCUAGGACUCUAGAAGGACCUCCUCUAUCCAUGACACCCAUGAAGUUCUAGCUGACUUCAGUUGACUGCAAACAAAUAUUUCUUAAUGGUAAGAGCCAAGCAAUGCAGUUGCUACCAGAUUCACUGGAUAUCAAUAUGCCCACACACCAUGUCAUGUCAUCAUUUCUGAGCUGUUGAAACUUGACACUGUUGAUAAUCAAAUAUAGAAAAAUUUAGGAAGAACUUACUACAAAGUGAUGGCUUGAACUAAAGAAUAUGCAUUACAUGAAAAAAUGCUUGUAUGUUGAUAUUAAUUCUAUGCACUUAACUAUUGGAUACUUCAGAAGCUGCAUAAUAAUAAAAAGUUCACAUACUAAAAGCUACAAAAAGGCAACAUGCCUGGAAGAUAUAGUUAAAUUCUGAUAUAUCUAGAAUUUACACAUUAUCAUCAGUAGUUCAGUACCAAUGUAAUCAUACAGUAUGUGGCUCUACAAAUGCUUAAGAUGUUGGACAACCACAUAUCAGUAAGCUAGUCAAGCAGAAUGUUAAGGAAAGAAAUUUGCUCAGUCCAGACCAUCCAACUAUUUAUAUUUACAGUCUACUUCAGGAUAGUACUGGUAACUAGGCCUGUGCAAUGCAUGUUAAAGAAAAUAUUCAAAGAAGAAUAAAUUAAAAUAUUAUAUUAAAUAAAAUAAAGCAAAAAAAUGACCAAUAAAUUAAAAAUAUAUUUGAUUAUACAAGAAAAAAAUAAAUUUGAGAAAUUACAUAAAAUGACAAGUGUUCACAUUCAAAUGCAUGAUUUAAGUCUUAUAGAUUUUUUUAUCUUAAGAGUAAGUCAUUAAAAAUUUUAAAAAAAGGGCAUGACAAAACAAACAUGGCAGGACUUUGAGGCCACAAAAAAAAAGCAUCUUAAGUGGGUGGAUUGGAAUGAGAGAGAGGAGGGGGAGGAGAUCUGCCUACAAUCUAGGAGGAUUUGGUGGGAUAGAGGGAGAGACAAUAUAGGUGGGACUGUGGGAGAAUACUGCAUUUCUCCUUUCCAAAAAAAAGUUAAUGGAGAGGGGCUGUAAUCUAGGAAGAGAGGGAGACCAUGUAAUUUUCCUCCCAAAAAGACACAUAAUUUGUUUCUAUUCCAAAUAGAGAGAAUCUGACUAAAAUGGAAGAAAUGGAAUCUAAUCCGACCUUUCUCAAAAAAUAAGAGUAAAGUAAGAUGGGGAAAGAAAAUUUUUCUUAGUUUUUUGCACUGGUCGAUGGAGGACAUUUGCAAAAGAUAUUGAAGACCUAUAAAAGACGUCCUAAGACUAGUUCUAAUGCUCAAGCCUUGAUUUGGAAUAUGUUGGAAGGUGUUGGACCCUCUUGGGACCUAGCUUAAGGUCAGGUAGUCAUUAUACAAUCUUAAUUUUAUGUUUCUCAGCAAUACUAUAAUGUUAGUUCAGUUUUAUUGAUGUUUUCUUAAAUUUUUAGAUUCAAGAGUAUUUUCGUAAUUUUCUAGAUUUUCUGGAUGUGGUCUGUCACAUGGUUCAUGGGUUGUAAUGUUAGGUCUAAUUAUGUUUUGGAACUUGUUUUUAGCUGGAUUUUAUUAGUCAAAAUUAUAGAUUUAUUAUUUGGAGUCCAAGUCCUAGUAUGAGUAGAAGUAUUAAAACUCUAUAAAUGGGGCUGUAAUCUCUCAUUAUUUAUAAAAAAAAAGGUCAAAAUUUCUGAGAUUUUUUACAAGCAAUUAUGAUUUCUUUUAGAGUUGUGUGUUGCAAUUGUAACCCUAGGUGUGAGGCCUACAGGAUUCUAGAUGUGAUGCCUAAAAGCCUAUCUCUUGUCUUCUUUUUUUUCUUUAAUUACAGCACCCUAAAACCUCAAAUUCAGAUCUGAUUUCAUCCCUCCAAAACCCUAGCAACCAAAAGCAACAAAAACCAUAGUCACCCAUUCAUCAAUUAGCCGUCAAAUUCACAAAACAAACAAUUUUUUUUUAUUUCCAUUUUUCUACUUCCAGCUCAUAUAAAAUCCCCAAAACUUCAUCUCUUUGCUUCUAUUUUGCACUCAACAUAAACCCUAGAUUCUUAUACAAUUUUCCUUCCCUUUUACCCAAAACAACCCAUUAAGCAUUCCCGAAUUUUCCCUAAUAAAGGCUGUCCUACACGACUGGUUCAAUUUGGUUUUGAGAACUCCAAUUCAUGUACAUGCAAGUGCAGAAUGAGAAAAGAAAGUAAGAAGCUCUUAAGCAGAUAUUUUGGUAGGAUCUGACUGCAAGUUCCUGUGUAAUGUUCAUUAAAAUAGCUUCCAGCAAGUGCACAUAAUCUUUAUAACCCAUCGUCUUUUGUAGCAGAAUAAUUGCUAAAAGACAACAAAUUACUCUAUUGGCAUCUUAAAGUAAGUAGUCAUUUGUUAUUUGCUUAAAUUAUAUUUCAUAUUACAAUGACUAUCUUAAAUAAUAGUCAAUUCCAAGAAAUAAAACACCUAUUCUAUGCUGGGCUAUGUCCCAAUGAAGUGUUUUGUCUAGUGGUUGACUGUUGUUAUACUGUAAUUGCUCUUGCACUAUCGUCCUUUUUCUCAUGCAUUAGGUUGACAAACCAUUUACAUCUUAUAAAAGAAAGGAAUUUCUUAAUAUCCAAUGGACAUCUAUACCUCUACCUCAUCAUUAUCUGACAGGCAUCCCUGGACAUCACUAACAGAAAGACACUAGUUUGUUGUAAAACGUACUAAUCUUAAGUACAUAUCCCUAAGGUAUUUUUUAAACACUAACAUGCAGGUAUCAAAGACUCAUGUUUGAGAUAUUAAUUUUAUUAUUAAACUAUUUCACAGAAUUUACCAGCCACACCUAUAACCCAAAACAUUGUUUAUCAAGCUUAGUACCAAUUUGGCAAGGUAUAGAAAUUCCCUAAUCUCCAAAACAGAGAGACAUUAACUAUAAUUACACUAUAUUCCUCGAUUAACUAUAACUACACUAUAUUCCCUAGUAAAAUAAUCACCGACAUCUGGAUCAACGUUUACAAUCAGGAAGAAAAUUAAAGCAUUUUGAGGAUAAUUCCACUAAAUUCUAAGUCAUCGGCACGUCCAGAUUCAUGGUCUUAGCUCACCAGUAGGUGCAAAUGGAGUAGCAUUAAAAAAAGAAAUAUUAAAAUUGAUAUGUGCUAAAGAAAAGAAAAAAACUAAUAUAGAAAUCUUAGAUUAUCGAAGUACUCAACUAGAGAUAUAAACGAAAAAAAAAAUUCCCAAGAAUGAAAAAUUGGGACUCAUUUUGGCAUGCAGGCUCUCAGUUUAGCUGAGAAAGAUUUGAAUAUCGCUCCAACAUUUGAAACAUCAAACUAAGAAUUCCAACUCAAUCGAAAAGAAAAGCAUCAAAAAGAUGUCAGAGAAAGCGAGAGAACCUGUUUGUUCAGGAGCACUGCGAACCGGCCGGAAGUCGCCCUCCCGGUGCGAACCGGCCGGAACUCCCCCUCCCGGAUCGGCGUUUCCCACAGGAAUGGGAUCGCUUCGAUCGAUAUAAAUAGAGGGGAAGGGGGGAGGAGAGAGGGCGCGGCUCGAGGACUGGGGAGGAUCGGAGGAUGCUGAUUCCGAAAGGAUCUUUUUUGGGUCGGGCUGAUGGCAUAUUCGCUGGAGGGCGGCGCAUCCCUCCCCUGAAGAAUUUUAUUCGGCUAAUCCAACUCGACGAGGACUCUUUUCUUCCGUACAAGAAAAGCCAGCCAAUUCCACUGGGUUAUCAAAAUAUCGACUGUCGCAUGAGGAAGGCCGUUGGAUUAUUUUAGAAUUUUCAAAACUGCAAUCCCAUUAGUUUUAUUGAAAUAAAUUUAUAAAAAAAUAAAAUAAUUAAAUUUCCAAAAUUAAUUAUUUAAUUUUGAAUAAAAUCUAUUUUGUAAAAAUUAGUAAACCAUAAAAAUCUGAAAAAUAAGAUUUAUAAAGAACGGCAUCUUCCCAUUUUUUAAAAAAUAUAUUUGAGAAAAAUUCAUAUUUUAUAACUAUCUGUUUGGAAAAAAUUUAUAGACAACUAAACAAUUUGAACCUCAUGUGAUGUCCACCUACUUUGGUUGCUAGAUUAUACUUGAUAUUGGCUAAUAGUGAAAAACCUACAUAUUUUCUGUGCAAAAGAUUUGGAAAGAUGAAUUAAAGAUGAAAAAGUUAAGUUAAUGCUAAGUGAUGGAUGAUAAAAGGGCUCGACCACUUAACAUCUUUGAUGGUGGUAUGGAUGGUACCAUUAGUAGAAUUCAUGGGAGGUUUGUUGCAUCAACCAUAAAUUGAGGUAGUGAUGCCUCAUUUGGUUGUGAGUAAUUGAACGAUCUAUCAUGGCAUAAUCGGUCUCUUCCUAGCUAUAGCUUAUGAUAAGUUUCUCCCUCCAUGUCAUCUUCCUCUUAUCUUGGAUGGUGCCUACCUUUAUUUCCAUAGCCAUGUUAGGAGAGGAGAUGGGAAAAAGCAAGGGGUAAAGGUGAUUAAAUUAGGAUAUUCAAGCAAUUGUUCUAAUGAGGAUGCUCCAUUCAAAAAUAUAUUUUCAUUUUUUUGUUUCCAAGAGGUCUAUAAGAAUGCAGCACAGAGCUGGUCAACAUCCACCCUAAGUAUUUUAGGCGUGGAAGCUUUCUAUAUAGUCUAGAGUGAUUGAGAAUUAGCAGGCAAAUUAUGUAGGUUUAGCUAAGCUAGAAUCACUGACUAGAGAUCACAAGAGAAGCUUCACUUGAGAAAGAUUGACAUUCUAAUUACAGGAGAUAUAUCUAUCAAGAUUGACACCAGAUUUUCUUUUGAGGUUUUCUUUGGCAUGCCUUUGUAGCUCAUCCAAAGAAAUGCUUUUAUCUUGAAUGAGACAUCGAUACUUUACCUAGGGGCUAAGGUUGAAUAGGCACACCUAGAUCACCGUAUCCAAGAUUGUUCUAACAGUGAACUAAAUUCUUGUUGUAUGAAAAAUUUUGAUCGAAGUUUGUUGUCUCGAUAUCGGAUCAUAUCGGUAUCAUCCUAUUAUAGUAUCGAUGCAUGGUACGGUGCAAGAUGGCGAGGUGUAUCAAGUAUCAGUAUGGUAUGAGACUAUAUACCGGUUCAAUACCGGUACAAUAUGGUACGGCUAGUAUGAUAUGGUACUGAUUGAUAUGGCAAAUUUUAAUUUUGAUAUUCUAAAUAAUAUUCCAAAUAGCCCUUCUAUGAUUCCAUUAUGAAGCAAUAGUGAUCCUUUUCUUUGUGCAGUUUGCAUAGAGAUUAGGGAAAAGCAAACAUCGUGGAACUCCUAGCCAAGUAUCUUCCGAGAAAUUAAUAUCAUGACCAUUCCCAAGAUCAAGUUUUAGUCGCUUCAAGAAGGGAGGUAGAGUAGACAAGAUAUCUUUCUAAACAAGCAAUAUUCUUUUUCUAGCCUUCCAGCACUAUGCUAAUUUAAUUUCUUUAUGAUAUUAAGGUUAUUUAUUUUUUCUCAAGAAUUUCCAACUCCAUAUGGCCAAUGGAACUUAGUUCAUAACUUCCAGAACUUUAACACCCAAUCUUCCUUCCUUUUUGUUUUUUUUUCUCUCACACAAUCUUCGAGUCAUUUGAAAGUCCCAAUCCUGUUGUGGAAGUAGACCUUUUCCAAAGAAGACUCUUUUGUAUUUGUCCAACCUUUCGAUUAGCCAUUGUUAGUAGCUUGUAAAUAUGCUGGAAGAUAAACACAUUUACAGAAGCAAGAAUUUCGGAUCACUUAUGGAUUUCUCCCUUUGGUUCGAUUUACUGGUCGAGAGCGGGUAUCACCAACGAAAAUCUACUGUUUUCCACAACCUAAAUGCCCAAGACACUUGCAGAGAAUUCUUUUCUCUUAUUUUCUUAUGGUUUUUUUCCUUCCCCUUAACCCACACCCUUUACAAUAUGAAGCCUUACACAUAUAUAUAGCUUCAACGCAUAACUAUCAAUAGACAGUUUAAAGGCUGGAGAGAUGUCUAUGGAAAGAUAUCUCUUUUGGAUAUGGAAGAUCGUGCAUUUUGGAUAUGAAUAAAAAAUAUGUCUCUUGGUUAACCGGUUGGGUGGAACCAUCAUGGGUGGACCGAAUCGAUUUUUCCAACAUCUCCCACUUACACAUGAUGGGUUUAACAAUGUGAGUUUUAACCAUUACGAACAAGACUUAUCCUUGCGAUUUUUAUACAGGCAAAUAGGUUGUGCGACCAGCAUACCAAAAAUAAUAAUAACGAGCUCCCACUACCAUACAUCUGUUAGGAAUAUAUAGUACUUCAGUAAAGUAUGCAGUAUCCCAUAACACUUGAGUCACAUUUCAAGUACCUUAAGAUCUCACUUUAACUUAUCACAUUACUUAUUUUCUAUUUUGUAUUCAUAAUUAUUCUUUAACACGUAGUCAAGAUGAUUAGUCGACCAAUGAAUACAAUAAAGAAAUGAGACACAAAAUGAUCUUCCUUUCUAUCUCGAAUCUCUUGAUUGUAGUUCAGUUGCUUUUCCAGAUAUGUCCCAAUAAACCGAAUCAAUCACGAUUGUAGGUAACAUUCCAAGAUAGCAUACACUAAACUAAAUCUCAAGAAACAGUAAAAAUAAUAAGGGUAUUAACAGAGGUAAUUAUAGCCUCAGGGCUCACACAACGAGAGAGAAGAGAUCAAUUCUCUCGUUACCUUUAUUGGUCAAAUUAUGCGCAUGUGGUAUGAAGCACAUGUUAUGGUAUUUUUCUCCUUUCAUGGAACGUAUGUUGAUUCUCAUUAUAUGAAAUACCAUACAGAUGAUAGUUCAUCAGACACACCUAGUGUCCAACUUGAGUUCACCACUCUACUUUCUUUCUUAUUAUUACUACAGAAGUCACAUUUGGCAUUUAAAACAGACAAGGUGAGUUGUGGAUUUACUCACCUUCGGUUACAAAAUAUUACAUAGUGACCUCAUCUUGAUUUACUAUCAAGACGAUACUAAUUUUAAGCUUGAGCUCAUAAAAACAUUAUGCUUAAAAUUGUUUCAUCUCUAUCAACCACAAGUUAUAGAGGCGAUUUCCCGUGUGAGAAGGUCAAUCUAAUGUCUGUCCAAUAUACAUUUAUUUAAAUGAACUAAUCAUAUGCACUAAGCAUUAAUGCAUAUAUAUAUAUAUAUAUGCAUAUGUGUGUGCUUAAAAAAUAUAAGAACUUGGCAUUUAUAUAAAAACAUACAUGUGAACCCCAAAUGAGAAAUUAAAAUAUCUCAUUAUUCAAACCAUUAAGUACAUCAAAGUCUACGAGAACUAAAGAUUUCACAUGUCUCAUAAAUACAUCUCUAGGAAUAGGUUUAGUAAACAGAUUAGCGAUCAUUUAAUUCGUAGAUAUGUACUGCAUAUUCACCUUCUUUUGUGCAACCAUGUCUCUCACAAAGUUAUACUUUGUAUCAAUAUAUUUGGUCUUUGAGUGAUAUUUUGGGUCUUUUGUAUAAGCGAUCGAUAUCUGACUAUCACAAUGUACCAGUGCUGGAUAUGCAACAUUUUUCAAAACCUCCAAAUGAUUAAGAAAUCUCUUUAGCCAAACUGCUUCUUGUACUGUCGCUGAAGAAGCUACAAAUUCAGCUUCCAUCGUGGACAAAGCUAUAUAAGUUUGUUUCUUACUACUCCAUGAAAUUGCUCCAUUACUUGGUAAGAAAACAUAACCAGAAGUUGAUUUUCUUUCAUCCAAAUCACCUCUCCAAUCAGCAUCAGUAUAGCCUUUAAGAUGCAAAUCAUUUUCUUGAUAACAUAAUGAAUAAUCCGUAGUAUCUUUUAGAUAUCUCAAUAUCUUUUUGACCGCUUUCCAAUGGUCAUGGUCAGGGUGUGAUUGAUAUCUGCUUACUAUACCAACUGCAAAGUAGAUAGCUGGUCUUGUACACAUUGUUGCAUAUAUAAGGCUUCCAACUGCACUGGAAUAGAAAACUCUUUUUAUUUGCUCUUCUUCUUGUUGAGUCUUCGGACAUAUUUUUUAGCUUAAUGCUUCACCUUUUGCAAUGGGAGUAUUAAUGGGUUUACAAUCUUGCAUAUAAAAUUGUUCAAGAAUUUUUUUAUAUAAGGCUCUUGUGAAAGAGAUAAUAACUUUUGAAUGAUCUCUUUCAAUUUUAACCCCAAGAAUAUAGUUAGCUUCUUCCAUGUUCUUUAUUUCAAAAUUUGAGAACAACCAAUUCUUAACUGAUGCUAAGAAUUCCUUAUCAUUAGCAGCCAUUAGUAUAUCAUCCCCAUAAAGUGAUAAAAUCACAAAUUUGUCUUUGGAUCUUUUAAUAUAGACACAGUGGUCUUCAUCAAUCAUGGCAAAAUCAUAUGAUAUGACAGCCUGAUAAAAUUUUAUAUUCCACUAUCUAAAAGAUUGUUGAAGGCCAUAAAUUGACUUCAAAAGUCUACACAUUUUGUGCUCUUGGCCUUCUUUAAUGAAGCCGAUAGGUUGUUCCAUAUAAAUUUCUUCUUCCAAUUCUUCAUUGAGAAAAGUUGUUUUUACAUCUAUUUGAUGUAAUUCAAGAUCCAAACUAGCUACUAUGGCUAAAAUGAGCGAAUUGAGGUGAAUCUCAUAGCAGAAGAAAAUAUCUCUUCAUAGUCAAUCUUCUCUUGUUGCGUAUAGCCUUUUGCUACAAAGCAUGCCUUAUAUAUUUCUAUUGUGCCAUCCGCCUUGCAUUUUAUUUUGAGAACCCAUUUGUUCCCAAUUGCUUUCCGACCUUGCGGAAGAUCAACCAAUUCCCAAACUUGGUUUGAUCUCAUUGACUCCAUUUUUUCUUCCAUUGCUUUCAUCCAUUUCUCUUUUAUAGGAUAUUUAAGAGCUUCAUCAACAUUUCUCGGUUCACCUUCCUCUUGAGGUGUAACAAAAAAUGCUUCUCCUUCAAUCUCAAAUCAUCGAUGGAGAACUAAUCCAUGGUUACUUCUUCGUAAUUGAGAUUGUUGUGAAAUAAAUUCAUCAUUUCUUGAAUCUCUCCCACUUGAACUAGAUAUUGUUGAUGGAUUUUCAAGAUUUUCCACCAAUUGAGUUUGAUUAAAUAAAUUAUCAUGGUCCUCUACCUCAAAUAAAAAUAAAUUUUUCUUUAUUUCAUCUUGAUUUGGAAAAUCAUUUUCCAAAAAUGUGGCAUCACAAGAUUCAAAUUCAGUAAUACUUCCAUUAUUAGUGUCACCAACGAACACAUAUCCUUUGGAGAUUUCAGAGUAUCAAAUAAAAAUACUCUUUUUACCCCUUGGACCCAAUUUUCCAUGUUUAUGAGAAGAAUCAUGAACAUAUGCAGUGCAUCCCCAAGGUCUCAAAUUACUUAGGUUAGGUUUGCGACCGGUCCAUAAUUCAUAAGGGGUGGAAGUUACUGAUUUUGAGGGUACUUGAUUAAGUACAUAUGCAGCUGUUAAUAAUAUACCCCAAUAGGUGAUUGGCAAAUUAGCUUGUACCAUCAUGGAUCUAACCAUUUCCAACAGGGUUCUAUUUCUUCUUUCCGCAACACCAUUUUGUUGUGGAGUACUAGGAAUAGUUAAUUGUCUACCUAUUCCCUUUUCAUGACAAAUUUGUCUGAACUAAUUAGACAAAUACUCACGUCCACGGUCAGUUCUUAACACUUUGAUUUUUCGAUCUAAUUGAUUCUCAACAAAGUUUAAAUAUCUCACGAAGCAAUCUAAUGCAUCAGGUUUGUGAGAUAUCGAAUAGACUAAAUUGAAACGUGUAUAAUCAUCAAUAAAUGUGAUGAAAUAAGAAGCUCCAUGUCUUGUCCUCACAUUCAUCGACCCACAAAUGUCAAAAUGAAUUAAUUGCAAUGAAAAACCGGCUCUAAUUCUUUUACCAAAUGGUUUUCUCGCAGUUUUUUCUGCUAAGCAAUAUUCACAUAUGGCUAGAUUAACCUUUUCACCAGGGCCUAAUAAUCUCUCUUUGGCUAAUCUAUUCAUUCGUCGUUGCCCUAUGUGACCUAGCCUAGCAUGCCAAAUAUUUUCAUCCACAUUGGGAUUACUAGUAGAUGCAACAAAGAAAAAAAUAGUACUCAUUACAUUACACAUACUAUAAUCAGUGUCAAAUACAAUAAAACCAUUUAGUACAUAACCAGAUCCAUAAUAAGUUGUCCCUAGUAAUAUGUCCACACCAUUACCAUGAAUUUAAGAUAUAGCCAAACUUAAGUAAUAUAACAACAGAAAUUAAGUUUCGCCGAAUAUCUGGAGCAUAUAAUACAUCAUGUAGGAUUAAGGGUUGACCACCUCGCAUGUUCAAUUUGCAGGUGCCUAUACCCUUUACUUCAAGUCUUGAAUUAUUUCCCACAUAUAUCCAUCUUGCUCCUUGUGGAAUUCAAUGAUAUUCCACAAAAGCAUCUCAAUCUUUUGCUACGUAGUCUGUGGUCCCUGACAGUCCACAAAAAAUGAGAUUCAGCUAAGAACAUAAAACUUGAAACAUAAGACAUACUUAUAUUUGUGCUAAGGGUUUUUACUUUCUUUGCCUCUAAACAUUCACGAGCAAAGUGACCCUUCUUGCCACAAUUGUAGCAUCUCAAUUUUACUUUGUUCCUCUUGAAAAUACGCUUUUCUUUACCUGGCUGGCUAUGCUUGAGCUUCUUGGAGGUCUUGCUAUUACCAUGGCCUUUCUUAAAAUGACCAUUAAAAUGCUUUCGUUUAAAGCCCAAAACUCCUUGCGAACUAGUGUUAGCCAUAUAUACUUCAUUAGUGGUUUUAUUUGCCUCAAGACGGUCUUCCUCCAAUUCCAAAUGCUUUCAUUAUGGGUCAAGUAAACUUUCAUGUGCUCCCAACUGUGAGGCAAAGAUCGAAUCACAGCUUGAACUUGUUGUUCAUCAAUUAGCACAUGUCCAACAUCUCGCAGUUCACUUAUCAUGUUCGACAUUUUCCUUAAAUGCUGCUUCAUAUUAUUAUUAGGGCGUUUCUUAUAUGUGUCGAACUUGAUGGUCAGCUGCCUAAGUUUGGCGACAGAAGUUCUACCAAACUUUUCUUUUAAUGUUUCCCAUAUAUCCUUUGCCGUCUCAAAAGGCCCGAACUCACGCAUGAUAUCAUUUUCCAUGUUACUCAGUAAUGUAACUCGAGCAAUUAAGCUCUUCUUUUUUCAAGCAAUGUAAGCCUCAUUAUCCCUUAUAUGUUGCACUGAUAUUCCAUCUUCAGGCUCAUUCAUGGUAUGGUUUAGGGCUUCCAGCGCCUCUUGUUCCUCCAAUACAUAUUGGAUUUUCAUUUGCCAUAUUUCAUAAUUUUCACCAUUAAAUUUCUCACCCUUUUUAAGUUCAGCUACUAUAUUCUUAGAUGCUGAAGCUACUGCAGAAAACUGAAUUUCUACAUAAAGACAAACAUGCAUACAAUUAAUGCCAAGCACAACACAUAUUUUUCUUUGCCACUAAACACAAAUAAAAUUAAUGCUAAUUCGCAUAAUGGCAUGGAAUUGAAAGUUCACUAAGUUCCUAAUCAUCAUCCAAAAAAAAUGGAACUUCCCACUUAAAACAUUAAUUUUAAUUCUUAGCAGGCAAAGUUCUAGUUCUUAAGACAAAUCAUAUGGUAAGUCUUAGAACUCCCACUUAAAACAUGUAUACUAAAACAUUAAAGUUAUAUAAACAUGGAGACAUUUAUUAUCAUAAAAAAACUUUUAAAUAAUCAAUACACAAGUAAACAAUAUAAGUUAUUCUAGCUUCGACUAGUUCUCAACUAGCGAUUUUGCCAUCUAAGAACCCGAACCCUCCUUGGAAUAGCAUCCUCAAUUUCUUUUUGAAUCAUAGUUGAUAGUAUUUCUUCAAUCCAAAUGGUAUGACCUCCAGCUACUGUUAAAAUCCCACUAAUCUCAUGCAUUAAGUACUCUUUUAUAAAUGCUCUCACCAAUCGAGCAUAAUCUCUCACUGCUAAGGAAUUCCAAAGAUUUCUUGGAGCUUGUUGCCAUGAUCUAAAUAAAGAAUCAUACAACACUUGGUACCGUUGAUGUUGACCUAACGCAUGUCCUAAAUGAAUGAUUUCUUCCAUUAUAUAAUGAAUAGUUUGUACAUGCAAAAUCAUGUCAUUAAUAGGAUCCAUCCUUAACUCAUAAUGUGUGCAACAAAUCCCUAAGCCUUGCCCUUUGUUCAGAGGUCCUUGCUGCCCUCAGAACUCUUACUAAGAGUGGUACUCGUGGCAUUAUUUCCUACAACAAAUGUGGAAAAAAUGCUUAGACAUAGCACUGAAAUAUAAAAACAUACAAUUAAAGGAUGUGGGAAUAUUCAAUCUUAAAAUUUCCACAUGUCACACAUACAGUCAAGGUAUGAUAGGAAAAAUUUCAGAAAUUUUACUCAUUAAAAACAUAUUUUUUGUAAUUUUAACUCAUUUUAUAAUAUAAAAUUAAUAGAAAAUAAUUUUAUAUUCGAAAAAUAUUUCAAAAAAAUACAAAAAAUUAGGAAAUUAAAUUUUGAAUCCAAUGGUACAAAUCACGUCUCAAAAUACAAAAUACUUUUUCAGACCAUGCCUCAAAUAACGACGUCGGAAAGUGCCUCACGCACUACAUGCAUCAUUAGGGCGCGUUUGGCAGUGCAGCGGUUGACUUUUCUUCGGACAGUCAACCAUCAGCCACUCUCCUACCCAGGCGUGUGAAGGAGUGCCACAAAUUUUUUUUGGUUAUUUGUUUUCUUGAAAUACUUCAUUUUUAAUUCCGAGUCCAAUGGUGGUAUCUAUUUUUCAAACCACUAUUGGAGACAUAAGGUUUGGAUAUUAAGCAUGUCAAGUGAGAGUGGGAUUGGUCAGUAGAGGUCUUCUUCAACCCUGACAUAAGCUAAUCACCGUAACAAAUUGCACAAACACCACAUGCGAUACAUGAAUGUUGGCUUGGUUUCACAAGACCAUAGUGUCAAGAAAAUCACCAGGGUAACAUAGCUAAAAGGUAAUCAAAGUUGAAAUUAAGCAAUAUUAAAGUUGAAAUUAAGCUUGUACGUGAAAAAUUCAUUCUUCAAGCUCAUUAAAAUGUCUGCUUGGCAGCUCAUCACCCGUCCUGUUAAAAUAUAUGGAGAAGAAGAGAAACUAAGAGAAUUGUAUUUCUGACUGUCUAUUACAAUGUACAGAAGCAACCUUUAUACAGAUUAGGAGACCGACAAAAUUUAGUAAGGCCUAAGUUUGGCAUAAUCAAUUACAAAUCAAUAAAGGUGAAAUUUGGUAAAGCCGACUAAAAUUUGGCACAGCCUGAUUUUAUGGAGGCCAAUUAUAUUGGGCACAAUUAAUGGUGAAGUUUGGUAAGACCGACUAAGUUUGGCAUAAUCAAUCAAUCAAUAAAUUCUAACACAUCCAUCCUUCAUGCAUGCAUGGCAUCUAUUUUCAUGUGUCCCACAAGUUCCCACGCCCUACUAGGUGAAAGAGCUUUCCCUAAUCAUGAAAUAUACCACGUAAUUGAGGCUUCUGCCAGGGCUAUAAUACCCAUUUUACCCCUAUAUUCACCAAAAGCCCGACCUGAGCCACCGCGAGUAGUCCGACUUAUGAGGUACAUCCAGAGUACAUAAGACUUUUCAUAGAGUUUUUAAAUAUAAAUAUUCUUCUAAAUAUCAAAUUUUGCAUGAAUAUUCUUCUAAAAUUAAUAUUUAUAUCUAUACCUCUAUAAAAUAUUUAAUUUUGUUAUUCUAUUUUGUUAUUCUUAUUUUUGCAUAUGUAUUCACACCAUCUAACAUCGUUAAAAAAUUAACAGUUUCAAACUAGAAUGACUAAAAUAUUUUUAAUAGAUAGAUGUGCUAAAAGAAACAUUUAUAAAAUGAUCGCAAUAGAAGAAAAAAAUAAUUUCAAAAUUUUAUUUUAUUUUCAAUUAAAAUAAAUAUAGCUUUUAUUAAUGAUGUUAAAAGAACCGUUAUAUUAGGAGAAUUUAUGCAAAAAUAGUAUUUUAUGAGGAUAAAAAAUAAAUAAUAAAAAAUAUUUAUAUAAAUUUUAAUUGUUAAAGGGUAUUUAUGUAAAAAAAUUAUUUUUUUACAACAUGUCUCCUCCGUGGAUCACCUUCCUUCGUGCCAAUCCAAGUUGAAUCGUUCAACACACGGAUCUCAAAGCUCUACACAUAACUCAAAGCAAGAAGUGGAUGAUCCAUUGCUCCCACAUGCAUCACAAUAUCACAUGUAAGGAUACGACAGGGCCGGCUAUUUAGCCCUUCUUUUAGAGUAAUUAUUUUUUCGUGCUUUCAUUCAAGAAUUAUAUUAAACUAUAAAAAUUUCUUAUCCAUCUUCGUUGAAAUAUUGUACUAGCUAUCUAUUUUCAUAUCAUUUUUUUUAAAUAUUUUAUUUGACAACUAUUUAUUUUCAUAUCAUUUUUUUUAAUAUUUUAUACUUAUUAAAUUUUUUUAUUAUUAAAAAAAAAUCUUAUUCACUGAAUUCGCGAUAGGCCUGCAAAUGCAUUGGCCGUCCGUGCAUGAUAUGCGGGGAUAUGACAGGGCCGGUUACUCUUUACCUCAAAUAGUUAUUGAGACAAGACCACCAUCCCUUUCCGACGGUGAUUGAUGCGGAAGAAAUUAUUCCCUAUGCUGCAUGCGUGCAGCAUGUGGCCGUGUACGUCACCGAUUAUGAUUAUUUAUUUGUAAAAUAGUGUAUCAAGAUGUAUGUUUGACGAACGAGAUCCACAGAAAUGAGCCGUUGUGAUUGAUGAUGUGUACGGGUCAUUAGAUGAACGAUGCAGCGUAGGGCUGAGAUUGGUCCACCGGUUCUGCUGCCCGUGGCCGUUUCUCCACGUGGUGGGGACCGAUGAUGCGAGCAUCCAAGGUGGCGAGAUCUGGUGAUGCUAUUACGUGGCUCUCUGGGCCCGCAAGUCCAAAGAAACCAAGCAUGUAACACGUAUCCCAUCCAUUGCCGUCGGUCUCACGCAUCACACAGCCCAAAACGUUGGAGAACUUUACUCCUCUGCCCUUUUUUUUUUCGCCCUUUUCGUUUUGAUCCAUCGGAUGCCUACGGCUACCCUAAAAGUCAGCGACCAAGAAAAAGAAAAAAAUUAAACACACCCAUUCCAAACACACCCAUUGUCCCCCUCUCUCCAACCUAAUUUGUGGGGCCCGCGUGCAGUGGACAAAGAAUGGCCGGCGGUGGAAUUCUAAGAACCGAUUCCGGUCCCCGUUAGCGUGACGGUCUUUUUUUUUCUUCUUUUUUUUGGGUACAAGAAGCGGGACGGCCUUCUCUCUUUUGCCUCCCUCUUGCCCUCUCUAUUUUGAGACGCUCGUGUCUUUCCGCGGCCGUUCAAUUCAUCACUGCCAUCCACUACGGAAACAUGGGGCUGUCUCUAAUCGAGGUGAUUUGUUUGAACGGUGAAAAGUGAGCCUCGAUUUGGUUCUUCCUUGUUUCGAUUUGUGUUUUAUCCAUGAUUUUUUUUUGGUUGAGAUCAGGGCUUUACUAAGUCGCUUGCGAUGACCGUGCUAUCGGAGAUUGGAGACAAGACAUUCUUUGCAGCUGCGGUAAAUCUAUCUUUUCCUCUCUUUUUUUUUGUUAAAAUUGAAUGAGAAAAAUGCACACUUCCUUGUUCGGAUGUAUUAGUGAAGAUUAGAACUAUGUCUGGUGAAGAUCGGAUUAUGUCAGAUUUAGAGUUUGAAAUCGCUCUACCAGCACUCUGAAUUUUUUUUUUCGCUUCUUUUUUUUUGCCUGAAUCAAACUGAGUUUUAAAAGCAAGGUCCUGAAGCACCUUGAUUCCUAGUUUCCAGUCUCCUGUUGUUGUGGUAGAUAGAUUAAGGUAGGCCAACCCUUGGAUACAGUGAUUUCCUAUGAAGUUAUACUGAUUGAUGUGGCGGCCAAAACACAAGAGACCGCCCCGUUUAUUACGCACGUGUGAUUCAAUUGCUAUCUUGUCAGAAGGAACAUGUAAGAUUAUUUUUGUCUUAACAAAAUUAGGUAAACAAAAAUAUAUAGAUAAUGUUUUUUUAUUUUUUUCGGGGGUGUGGUGUGUGUGUGUGGUGGGUGGGGGGUGGGGGGGGUUCGUGGGUUUAGAAGUGGCUUUGGUUUCAGAGGCAUAUAUCUCAUGUUGUUUGUAAGUACAUUGAGCUCCAGGAAAAAGACCAUAAUAAACCAACAUUCAUAUAUUAGGUCCUGUUGAUCAAAACUUCUUCUAGAGUCUAGACACACAGACACACACAUGCAAGCAUGCAAGAUACAAGCUUAGAAGCUUACCUCAAUAAUUUUUGUCUCGCUUAUUGGAAUAUAUUCUCGAAUCUUGAUUAUAAUACACAUCAUGCAUCUUAGCACCCUAGCUCUAUUGUUGUGGUCCAUAUUAUCAAUCACCUGAUGCAGGGUUAUAAAACCUCCAAUUGAUUUUUGUAUUGUUGGCAGUUUAAAUUUUGUGGGUCAUGGUUAAUGCUGUUCUCUGUUCAACUUAGAUGGCCUAUCAUAUAUUUUUACACUAAGAAAGUUUGCACCGGAUCCUACCAUAGUUCAACUCUCUCCUUAGCAUGUAGUUAUAUCCUAGCGCCAUAAUAUAUGAUGGGUCAUCCUGAACUGUUCAUCAUAAUCUACACAUCAUAAAACACAUGAUGACUACUUUUAGUUGCUUUUGGUAUUUUUAAACUGUGGAUCAUAAAAAACUGUUUUUCAUGUUAUUGAGGAGUUGAUUAUGUCAUGAACCAUGAUGCAUAAGUAGGAAACCCCUAUAUAUUUUUUUUUCCAUUUUUUUGGAUGAUUUUGAUGGUUAUGUUACUUCUGUGGAUCUAUAAAUACAUAAGGGUUCAAACUUCAACUUCACUCUCUUGCCCCUAACAUCUUGCUGCCUAGGCAUGAAAUUGUAGUUCUGAAGUUUGAAGUAGGAAAUGAUCUGUGUGCCUUACUUGAAAUAUUAAAUUCCUUUUAUUUGUUUUACCAAGAUCUGGGUUGUCAAGCUUCUACUAUAGCUUCUUGUUAGAACAGUGGCAGUGGACACUGUACCACCGUCAAAUGCUACUAGUUGUUGCUAAAAUGUACUAUGCAAGAAUUGUGUGGUGGUCAUACCUGUAAGAAUUUGGAAAGAUGCAAUCUAUUUUUCCUAUGAUAGCCUGAACAUUAUUUUUGUUUCACCUGACAUAUGAUUGCUCUUCUUAAGAUCUUGGCAAUGCGUCAUCCAAGGAGGCUUGUCUUAGCAGGUUGUUUAAUAGCAUUAAUUGUGAGUUCUCUUCCUUGACCUUUACUUUUAUAUUAAAGCUGUUGCUUUACCUUAGCCAUAAUUUCAUCUGUUUUCACAUAUAUAUGGAGUUGGAUUGUAGGUGAUGACCAUCCUAUCUGUCUUGCUUGGUUGGGCUGCACCAAAUCUGGUAUGCUAUAUGCUUUUUAUGAUUGAGAAAGUAUUAUCUCUUUGUUUUUGAACUUAUCAUAUUGACUUUUCAUGAGUUUUGAAGUUAUUGUAUUUUGUUUAUCUUCUGUGAUGUUUCUAGAAAUUAGUACCGGUUUUGGAGUUAUAGGUAUCUAUAGCAAUAUAGAGGCCUUAUGCCAUGAAACAUCUUAUAAAUUAUAUUGAAAAUCAAGGUAUAUGGUACCAGCUUGAAUAGGGUGAUACGGGGCGUACCGUACCGGUUUGGUACCCGUACCCGAUAUGGGUGGCAUACGGAUACUCGGUGUACCAAAAAAUUUCAUACCUUACCAUACCGACACUGUGCUAGUGUGACAUUGGUACAUGGUCUGGUACCGAGACGACGAACUUUACUAAAAACUCUAUAUUAAUAUUUUUGUUAAAUGUUUUCUUCAUACUCCAGUGUUGCUUCUGUUAGUUAUUUUUUACUUAAGCAGACAUGAUAGGCUACAUCUACCUAUAUCCAGUAACUAUUGUGGAAAAUGAGUAGUAAUUGAUCUAAGAGAUAAAAGAUUUAUGCAUAAGUUUACACAUUGGAAAUUUUAUGAAUUUCAUGCAAUUAUAUUACCUGCUUCGAUGAAAUUUGGCCCAGUCAUUUGGCAUCAGGAAUCUGAAUGUCAGUAGAGACUUUAUGGAGCAUAACUGUCUGAAUGAUGGCUAGGUUAUCCAUAUAUACUGAUGCUUUAUCUGAAAAACAUGUGUAUUCCAAUUUCAUGAGAUUACUAGCUUUUUUUUUAAAAUUAAUGUACUCAUAUAUCAAAAUUUGCUUUUUCAAGGAAUUAAAUGUUAUGAUUUUAUGCUGAUUGAUGUUUGGAAAUGUUGAAAAAAAUUCUAUUCAGAGUAAAACUUUUCAAGUUCAUAAUAUUUUCUAUUCUUCUUAUAUUUUUUGUUCUAUUAUAUUUUGCCUUUCAACAAACGAACACUCGAAAACUCUAGACUUGGGAAAAAAAGUAGAGAAGUAAAUUUCAUGAUUUUGGAAUUAAAAACCUCAAAGCACAAUCAUUAAAAGUCCUCAAAAUAAAUUGUUUGAUCAUACCUUCACCAAGGCACAUGUGAUAAGGAUACCUUCUUAUUCGAUAGAGGUGUUUCUAAUGAUUAAAAAUUGUUAGCUACUACGGUGCAACGAACUGAAGAAUCAGAUUUGUUUUGAUAAAUGCUGUUGCUUUCCUUUGUAAAUGAACUCAUGGAUGUUAGUAUUUGAAGAAUGACGGUGAAAAUGGUGCAAGAAUAUGAAAAAUGGUUUGCCGAAUCUCAAGAUUCUUCAUAGUAAACUUUGAAUUAGAAGCAUUAGGCUAUUGCUUUCUUCAUAACUGUGUAAUAGUAUUUGGAACAAUGAGAUGGAAGUUAGGACUGAAGGUUGUUCUUGAUUAAUGGAAAUAUAGAGAUAAAUGUGCUUCUGGGAUAUUAGUGAGUGAGGUCAUACGAUGCAUGAUAAAUGAUUAACAGCUGCACAUGCUACUUCGGAAUCUACUGAAUGAGCUUUAGAACAUCAUUUAUCUGGUCUAUGGAUCAACCCAGAAAGAGCCUUUACAUUCGAAAUAGUCAUUUAUAUACAAUGCUUUAUUUUUUUUUCGUUGAGAUGUUUUUUUUAUCAGAAGAAACAUGGGAUACAUUUCCAUGGGGAAUCAUCAUUCUCAUAGACAAGUGCUCUCACUCUUGGUUAUGUUCCAUUUUUUAUACUUAGGCUGAUGAGUCGGCUGUGCUUCUAUUAUCCGCGAAAAAAGCAGCAGAAAGCCAAAAAAAGAAUUAUGAAAAGGUACCCCUGUAGUCUGUAGCUCAUAUCCAUUGUUCCUUUGGGAUUAAAGACCUGAAGAUGCUAACGAGCAUUUGUGGAGGAGUACAACCAGGGUGUAGGUAUACUUUUGAGAGGGAGUAUGUUAUGGCAUCUUCCUUAAUACACAGACAGCUAGUGGGUGCAUAAUGGAGUCUUAGACACUUUUGCUAAUUCACAAGGAUCAAAGCAUCAUGUAACAUGUUGUAUUUGUGCUAACGCUGGACACAACGACAAGUAGGCAAAGGUAAAUUUGUAAAAGAAUUUGCAACUGGUGGUUAAAUUAUACUACUUAAUUUAAGCAUUUUAACACAGACAAAUUUUAAUGUCUUUAUACUGGGACAUAUGUAUGGUUUAGACAAGUAACUACACUUUGUAACCAAUCUUUGUAAGAUCAUAAAUUUUUAACAAGAGGAUAGCAUACUGUUAAAUAAAUUGCUUUAGAAACAGACAUCUUGUUACUAUGUUUGCAAAAUUACAUCAUAUGUAACAUUUAAAUCGUCACUAAAGUUAUUAGGGGCUUAUAUGACUAUACUUAAAAAUGCAUCGUAGGUGUUGUGUACACACACCAAUGAUAAUUUGCCAAACUCUUAUCCUAAUAAUACUUCUAGAAGCUUAUAUAUUAUGGCUGAUCUUGAUCUCUAACCUUAGACAAGGAUCGCUAAUGAUCUAUGUUGACCAGCACUUGCCAUGCCAGGCUUGUUACUGGUUUGGUACCAAGUAUUGAGUGAAUAACUUGGUGUCACAUGAUGUUGAGCUAUAUUAAAUCUUCAUUUCAACAUAUUUUGAUUUAACAGGUGUCUGUAGGGUCUAGCCUAAAUGGUCGUUGACCCUUUUUUCCUUUCCAAUUUAUUUUUUAAAAGUUGGAGAUAGGUGCAUGUUAGUUAAGACUUAAGACUGUGACUUAGCAAGAAUAUAACAAAUUUCAUUUAUAUGAAUACUUUUGACUUAAGAUAUUAUAUGUAAACAAGGAAAUACUCUCCAUUUGAUUUCACCAAAAAUAUAUAGAAUUCAAAUUCCAUCAAACUAAGAAGAUAAACUUUCCAGCUCAAGAGCAAAUCCCAGAAUUUUCAGAUUAUGUCUAAAUAACAACUUUCAAAUAUUUGACAAAUACUCAAACAUUAGUAGGAAGCAAAGGUUUGGUAAGAAAAGCACCAUAUCUUAGUCUCCAAAAUUUUUCAUCUAAUUUCAGAUCUCAGUCUCCAAAUUAUUGCAUCCAAAGGACAAAAAUUUUGUAUAAUGAACCCCACUUCAAUUUGAGUUAAUAUGUUCUCCCAAAUGAAGGCUGCCAAAGGUGGGACCCUUUUAUCAAGUAAUUAAAUAAAUAAAUAACAAUGCUCCAUCCAUAGAUGAGUUUAUCAGGCAGCGUACACAGACAAAAUUAUGCUCCAUCUAUGCUGUCAUCCAUCUACUUUAGAAUCCCUUGAAUCAAACAACCAAUAAUGAGCAACUCCCACUUCCACUCUGUAAUUAUCCGAUCAAGUGAAUUUGCACAAGGAAAAACAGAUUUUGAAAACAAGAAAUCUAUGGCCUACUUAAUCUAUAAGGCCACAAUAUCUAACAAUUGUUGCUAACUUGCUAUAUUAAUGUAAGAAAUUAUUACGUAAAUUGCUCUUUGUUAAGAUGGAUGACCAAAAUGUUCAAUUUAACUAAUUAAAUAUCCAACUGAGUGCAGAGCUGUAGAUUUUGGAGUGCUUAUUCAAGAAUUUCAAUCAUAAUCCUUAUAGUCUAUAACUAUCAAUACAACUUUGUAUGUUUUUAAUUGAUAUAGAGCUGGUUUUCUCUUAAAUAGGGUGAUGAGGACUGAAUAUGUAAAUACCAUUUCAAACCACUGUUUCAGCUCGAUUAUGGGAAUGAAACUUCAAUGUUUAUACUUAAGCACUACUAAGGAGCUAAUAGGUCUUUUCUAUCACUGGGAUCAAUACCUAAGGAGCUAAUAGGUCUUUUCUUUUGUUGGUCUUCGAACAAUGUGCUACUUGAAAUUCUCUUCUGGUUUGAGCAGUUUUAUAAAUUCUUUUCUGAAAAUUAUUUUCUUGUUCGUGGUUUCUUAUUAGAAAAAAAUGAAUUGAAAUAACAAUAUUUGCAUUUUGGUUUAGCUUCUCUGUUUCCAAAUACUCUGUGCUAUGCAUAGAUUUUGAAUAAAACAGAGUUGAAAUGCGCAGAUUUCUCGCAAAUGGACGCACCAUGUAACAACUGUGCUGUUCUUUAUAUUUGGAUUUUGGUCUUUAUGGGAAGGAUUUACAGAAGAUGGGUAUGCUUAUCUGCUCUUUCUCCUUUUAAAAUAUUUAUUAGUUUUUUUCUCAUUCAAAUCAGGUUUCAUCACUUACUUCUAUACUUAACAUUUACCCAUCAGGGAAGCUGAAGAGCUGAAGGAAGUAGAGGCAAAACUGGUUGGUGAAAAUCAUCUCUGGAGUCCAUUGGUUUAUUUAAUUCUAUGUACCACAUUCUUUCUAUGAUUUUGUUAAAUGGCUAUUUAAUUCUAUUUAAUUAGGAUGCUGACUGGAAAGCUGGCACAGGUGGCCCCAAAGGAGGUUCUAAGGUCAGUUGGCAAGUGUAAACUGGUCUCUAUUUAUCUUUAUUUCUCAUAUCAACUUACUUUCCGUUGACUGAAGAUAUCUUGCUCUUCCUGGUCUUCAUAAAGAUAAGUAACUCUUCAGCAGUGGAAAGCACUUCGUUUAAAUGUAAACAGCGAUAACUUAUUUUCUUUUCCAAUCAUAUUAACAAACAUUUAGUUCUAAUGCAUCCGUGAUCACCCAAUGUCUCUAAUUUGCUCUAGUCAACUUGUCGUUUAGAGUUUCUCUGUAUAUAAAUGCAGAGCAAGUUUUAAAUCAAUCAGCAAGUUACAUUCAAUAUUUGAUGUAUUAGAGAGAGUGUACUGUUUUCCUGUCCGUCGAAAUAGAUCCUCUAAGCCAUUUCAUACUCUUAUACUUUGUUUUGGUGGUUGACUGGUUAGAGGAUUUGCAAAGGUUUCAUUUGAAAGGAGCUUGCUAGAUAGAUUGUAUGUGAGGAAAUGAGGAUGAGAGUGUCAUGAAAUGGCUUUUGGGUUAAGCUUGUAUAGUGUGAUUUGAUAAUGUGGAGUGGGUGAGAGAUGAAAAAGCAACUGGGCCAAAAAUAAGCCUUCUAAAUUCCUGUUUAGAAGAAUAAUAUAUGUGUAAAACCUACUUGAUGCAAAAUUUUUGCUUUUAAAGACAUUUUAUGCCAGGAGAUAUCUGUAUAAUUUUCUUACAUUCUUGUUUAUCUAGGUUCUCACAGUGUGCAUAUUAUUACGGUGAGAUAUUAACACAAAAUGUCCAUUUAUAUCUUUACUGAUGUAGGAUUUGGUUUUUCUCUUCAUUUAUAUUAUUUGGUGGUUGAAGAGCUUGUCGGAUGAUGUCUAUAGUAUCUUGUGAGGGCUUUGGUAAAACCAAAUCUUUGUGGGACUCUGGUUGGCAUAAAAAUGGGUUACAUGAAAACUGUCAAUUGUGAAUGUUUGGAGACUAACCACUAGGAACUGGUUUAGAUCUUUGUAAAAUUAGAGCUGCAACUUGGGUUGUUUUCAACUAGAAAAUAACCAACCCAAUCAUGUUCUUGGGCUGGGCUAGGUUAAUGUUUUAAGAAAGUGGAUAGGGCUUAAGUUCAAGAUAAUUCAGACCCUGGGUUUGGUUGAGUUGGGGUUAAGAUUAAAUCCAACUUGAACCUUACCGGGUACCAUGAAGAGAGAGAGCAUGCACCUCUCACUUGAUUUGAUGAUUUUCCCUUUUUUCACAAUGGAUAGCCAAAAGAGGAAAGAAGGGGGGGGGGGGGGGCGAGCGUUGGCACAUGGAGAUGAACGCACCAUUGUGCGGCUGGGGAGCUGGCCGGAUCAAGCCUCAGAUCCAGCUGGGAGGAGCCAACAUUACCUUAUGUAUAUGUACAUAUGUAGUUAUGUAUGCAUAUGUACAUACAAACACAAAGGGAACACAACUUGACCUGAUCUACCUUGGCACAAUACUGACCCAAACAGAAAUUAGCCCAACCUGAAGUUAGGUCAGGUUUAGAGAUAUAAAAGUAGGGCUGGGUUAAGGUCGAGCGUUCAACAUGAGCUGACCUGCUCGAGUUGCAUCCCUAGGUAGAAUAAUUAAGAUUCUAUUUAUGCCAUGCAAAUUAGCAAACAAUUAAGAUUCUAUUUAUGUGCAAAGAAGUUCAACUAGAAAAUUUAAGGGUCAAGAAGCAUAUUGGUCCAGCAACCCUUUACUUGGGGAAGUCACCCUUUUGUCUAAGGUGGAAUUUGGCAUGUAUCCUUCCAGUUUAUUUGCAUAUAAAAGGGAAUUAUAAGGGAAGAAAAAUGACAUGAAAUGAAAGAAAAGAAAGUCUAGUGGCUAAAAACAGUAAAUCUUACAAAAAACUGAGUCAGGCUACCAAUGACCCAUCUGAUCCAAUGUUAGAGAACCUUUUGUACCAGCUGGAAGUGAACUGAAAGAGUUGAAAAAAAAUACUUUUGAGUAUCAUAAACAAGAUUCGCUCUAUGAUCCGCAACCAAAUUGUAUCUCUAAAUAAUUGCUGAACCACAACAUAUAUGGAAUCAGCUGGCAUUCUGAAUUUCUGAACAAGGUAGCACAGCUUCCGAGGAAUAUGAGAAUAUUGUUUAAUAAUAUCAACCAAUAUUUGAGAAUCAGAUUCUACAAUGUUAGAAAAGAAACCUUUUGGGGUGCAAAGUCUCAUUCCAUCAAGAAGUUCUCUCAUUUUAGCAAACGUAACAAACUUAUAGAAGUAAUUAAAACCCAAAAGAAAUCUGCCCUGGUCAUC
rnacentral:lncRNA from 1 species